UCAAUAACCCUCGACUAUCAUAGUCGAAGGAGGAAACCUGCCCCACAAUUCGCUCACNCUCCUGCUGAGCCUCCUGAAUCCGCUCCAACAGCAGAGUCACCACUGUCAUCCUCAGGCAGAUAUCUCGGAUCGGCACUGCCUUACGACUAAGCGCAUCAGCCACCACAUUGGCUUUCCCCGGAUGUUAAAGGAUCUCACAAUCAUAAUCCUUCACCACAUCAAGACACCGACGUUGUCUCAUGUUCAGAUUCGGCUGAUCUAUAAGGUACCUCAAGCUCUUUUGGUCCGUGUAAAUCGUACAGCGAACCCCAUAGAGGUAAUGACGCCAAAUCUUGAGGGCGAACACCACAACCCCCAGCUCCAAAUCAUGCGUCGGGUAAUUCGCCUCGUAAGGCUUCAGCUGCCACGAUGCGUAAGCAAUAACGUGCCCUCUCUGCAUCAACAUUCGACCCAAACCCGGGAUGGACGCAUCGCAGUACACAACAAAAUUCUUUAUGCCCUCUGGCGGGGCUAAGAUUGGUACCUCGCACAAUCUCUGUCUCUACGUCUCGAACGCGUCCUGCUGCUCGAGCCCCCAACGAAAAACCACGACUUUCCUCGUUAGCCUGGUCAGGGGUACGACUAUCUUGGAGAAGUCCAAAAUGAAUCUCCGAUAAUAGCCCGCUAAUACCACGAAACUCCGAAUCUCAGAUGGAGACUUCGGAACCUCCCAUCUCAUCACGGCCUCCACCUUGGCCGGCUCUACCGAAAUCCCGUUCUGGUUGACAAGGUGCCCAAAAAACUGCACCUCGCACAACCAAAACUCAUAUUUGGAGAACUUGACAUACAAGCUCUCCCUCCUCAAAGUCUCCAGCACCUCUCACAGGUGCUUCUCGUGCUCUUCCUACGUCCUGGAAUAAGCCAAGAUAUCAUCAAUAAAUACUAUUACAGACCGGUCUAACAUCGGUCUACACACGUGGUUCAUGAGGUCCAUGAACGCAGCAGGAGCAUUGGUGAGCCCGAAGGGCAUCACCACAAACUCGUAGUGGCCAUAGCGCGUCUGAAACACGGUCUUCUGCACAUCCUCCUCUCUGACUCUCAUCUGAUGAUAUCCUGAAUGCAGAUCAAUCUUGGAGAACCAAGAUGCUCCCUGUAGCUGGUCAAAGAGGUCAUCAAUCCUCAGGAGUGGGUAACGGUUCUUCACUGUUACCUUGUUCAGCUCCCGGUAAUCUAUACACAUCCGGUGCGACCCGUCCUUCUUUUUCACAAACAGAAUCGGGGCUCCCCAAGGAGAACUACUCGGUCUAAUGAAUCCCUUGUCUAACAGCUCCUGCAGUUGUGAAGACUACUCCUGCAUCUCAGGAGGAGCCAACCAAUAUGGUGCCUUGGCUAUCGAAGCCGCACCAGGGACUAGGUCGAUCCUGAACUCCACCUGCCUCUCUGGAGGUAUCCCUAGCAACUCCUCGAGGAACACAUCCGUAAACUCUCACUCCACGGGCACAUCGCCCACUGUCGCCUUUCCCGCCUCCCGGGUAUUCAUAACAUAAGUGACAUAUCCUGCGUAACCCUGCUGAAGGUAAUGCCUAGCUCUCGCUGCUGAACAUAAGGUCGGUCCCCGCUGUGGCCUCUCGCCUUGAAUCACCAGCUCUCCCCCACUUGGGGUCUUGAUCCGCACCAACUGUUGUGCACAGUCGAUCACUGCCCCAUUGGGGCUUAACCAAUCCAUACCAAUAAUAAAUUUGUUCCCCCGCAAAGGUAUGGGAACCAAGUCCACCAGGUAGCGCUCCUCGAAUAAUCUCAGCACACAAUCUUGGAAUAUCGUCGAUGCUCGCACUGAACGGUCAUCUGCAAUCUCUACGUCUAGAGGGCAAUCCAACAUGCCUGAAGGCUCGGAAAAUCUCUUGUUGAGCGUAAGAGAAACAAACGAUCGGGUAGCACCUGAAUUAAACAAUACCUGAACUAGGAUACCGUUCACAUGGAACGAUCCCGUCACCACAUCGAGUGUGGCGUGUGCCUCCUCUGUAGUCAGCUGAAAGGCCCGACUCCUCACCACUGGAGCCUCCGACUUGCCCUGCCGACCAUCUGUGAUCCGUAGGGUCGCUGGAGCUGGGGCCUUCAUUGGCGCUGAUGCUGCUGUCAACUGGGGGCAAUUGGCCUUCUUGUGGCCCCUCUAGUUGCAGUGGAAACACAGCAACUCAGACGUCGAGAAGAUAGGUGCAGGGGCGGUACAAUCUCUGCUAAAAUUCCCCAUCUUGCCACACUUGUAGCAGCCCGACGAUCCCAACCUGCACGCCCCCUCAUGUGCCUUGCCGCAUUUCCUACAGUAGCCUCGGCUCGGUUGGCCUUUCGGCCCAGCAUCUGAUCCCUUAGGCUUCUUCCCCGAAGCCCCUGUAACCUGUCCCUCCUCUUCCUUCCUCUUCCGGAUAUGCUCCAGAUCAAUCUCCCUCUCCCUAGCCCUGGCAAGCAUGGAAUCCAGGGUAGGGCAAGCUGAAAAACUAACAUGCUCCCGGAUGUCAGCUCGUAGCAAGUCAUGAUAGCGGGUCCUCUUCAUAUCCUCAUCUCCCGCAUACUGGGGCACCAACAAUGCCCUCUCCCGGAACUUGGCGGUGAUCUCCGCCACAAUCUCCGUAGUCUGCCUGAUGUCCAAAAACUCUCUGGCCAGCUGAUGAAGCUCUACCGCUGGCGCAAACUUUGCUUGGAACCAGGUCACAAAAUCCGACCAUGUCAUAGCCUCAACAGUCGAGGCUCCCAAUGAGUCACCAACAAACUCCCACCAGUCUCUAGCUCUGUCUCUCAAACACCCUGUUGCAUAUCUCAUCUUUGACCCCUCAGGGCAGAAGCUGGUCAGCUGUGCGGACUCAAUGUCCGCAAUCCAUCGUCUGGCAGCAAUGGGGUCCUUCGCAUCAUGGAAAUUCGGCGCACCACUGCCCCUGAAGUCCUUAAAGGACAGUGUGCGAGAUCCUGACUGGCCAGAUGCCAUGUCACUCCUGAAUUCCCUGAGGCGGUCCUCCAUCAACUCAACUAUCCCUUCCUUGAUCGACCCGAAGAUGAUGAGGGUCGACUCAAGGAUGCCUCUGGUGAUCUCUGACGUGAUAAACUCGCGUAGCCCCUCGUGUACUGGCUCGGAACAUGAUUCCGAACCCGAUCCCUCUCCUGAACUGCCAACUGCUGGCCUCGGACGUAGUACCACCAUUCUACAAUACAUAAUACCAACCGUUAGUGAUAUUGAUACCUCUUGAGGGAUCACAUCUACUACAAGUUCCUUGGUCUUAUCUCAACUUUCCUCACUUCGGGUACGGAUCCUCUGCUUUUAGUAGUACGGGCCCAUACUAACUUCCACAUCUAUCCGUACCUUCUUCAAGGACUGCCUUGACUCCACCAGAUCCCUUUUUACCACUACUGAUCACUGCUAUCCUCAUCCUAGGCUUACCCUAGGGAAACUCUUUGGCCCUACCCAAACCUGUCCUCAGCUGCUGAAGGCCUCCUUGUAAUGCCAAUUAGCCAUCACCUGAAUAUCAUCACAUGUGAUGAGGCUCAGAUAAUCCUUUGAGUAACAGACUCGUCCCUACAAUGGUUAGACUCAAACAAGAGCUGUGCAAUAGGGCCAAAUCCAACACUCUGAGAUUAUUCAACCCUGACCACAUGUGACGUGACGUAUUCACCUAAUGGCUAACUCCCAUCACUCAUAGUCCCACAAAGCACAAAGCAAGCAGCAUUCGGAUGCAGGUAAACUACUCAAGCAAGUCUGUUCUCAUAGAGAGAAACCGCACUAGUAUACAAUGCUAAGCUCAUACUAUCAGGCAUAACCUAAACAGGCUAUCCUACUGCUGGCUACUCAACACUAGCAUGCAAUUCACAUAAGCUGAAGCACAUAAAUUAGGCACAUAAGGCAUCACUCCUAGACCCUUAGUCCUAUACUAGCAUGUUGUUCUACUGAACUGAUAAACACUGCAUAACAUUGUAUGGUUACUUUGGGGAAUACUUACUUGAGCUCAGCUGGUCGCGCACAUCACACACUUCGUUCUUUCUUAAAGCCCUUUACUUAAUCUUUCGGGAAACCUUUUUUUUUGAAAUCCUUUAAUCCCUCAAUUUGAGUUCAAACACCCCCAAAGACAUGUCCGAAUCCCUCAAACCAGGGCUCUGAUACCAACUUGUAACGACCCAAUUUUCACGUCCAAAAAUUUCAUUUUUAAAUCAAUACUUUGGAAAACAUUUCUGAAUAAACAUCAUUUGAUCCUAUCAUUUCAUAAACAUAUUUUGUGUCUCAAAACCAAAACAUAAAAACAACCGUAAUGUCAGAGUACAAAAUCCCUGAAUAACUCAUGGUGCGGAAAACAAUGUGCGUGUAUGAUGUGCUGCUACCGCGCCAGCUCCUUCCCCUUCAAAGAAGAGGUACCUGAAAACAAAAAUGUAAACUAUAAGCAUGAAUCUUAGUGAGUUCCCCCAUCAUACCACAUACCAUACAUCACAUAACAUACAAAUACUGUCAGGCAUAUCUGGGUGCCCGACCAACCCCUUCGGUCCUUUCGACCGGAUACUGCCUAGCAUAUCUGGGUGCUGGCCUCCCCUUCGGUCCUUUCGACCGGAUACUGCCUAGCAUAUAUGGAUGCUGGCCUCCCUUUCGGUCCUUUCGACCGGAUACUACCACAUAAUAUCAUAUCACACAUAUCAUAAUCUGGCUAGCAUGGUUGGGUACUAAACUACCCCUUCGGUCCUAUCGACCGGUAACCGGGGACUAAUUCACCCUUACUACCACUAUCACAUAACAUCAAAACAUACUAGCACAUAAACAUAUCAAGUAGUAGCAAACCUAGAUGAAUAUCACAAAAACAAUCAUCUAACAUACAACUCCUACUGGUGGGCCGGCAUUGUGGCCGUAGACCCAUCGUACUAAACCGCCUUGACUCCACCAGAUCCCUUUUUACCACUACUGAUCACUGCUAUCCUUAUCCUAGACUUACCCUAGGGAAAAUCUUUAGCCCUACCCAAACCGGUCCUCAGCUGCUGAAUACCUCCUUGUAAUUCCAAUUAGCCAUCACCUGAAUAUCAUCACAUGUGAUGAGGCUCAGAUAAUCCUUCGAGUAACAGACUCGUCCCUACAAUGGUUAGACUCAAACAAGAGUUGCACAAUAGGGCCAAAUCCAGCACUCUGAGAUUAUUCAACUCUGACCACAUGUGACGUGACGUAUUCACCUAAUGUCUAACUCCCAUCACUCAUAGUCCCACAAAGCACAAGGCAAGCAACAUUCGGAUGCAGGUAAACUACUCAAGCAAGUAUGUUCUCAUAGAGAGAAACCGCACUAGUAUACAAUGCUAAGCUCAUACUAUCAGGCAUAACCUAAACAGGCUAUCCUACUGCUGGCUACUCAACACUAGCAUGCAAUUCACAUAAGCUGAAGCACAUAAAUUAGGCACAUAAGGCAUCACUCCUAGACCCUUAGUCCUAUACUAGCAUGUUGUUCUACUGAACUGAUAAACACUGCAUAACAUUGUAUGGUUACUUUGGGGAAUACUUACUUGAGCUCAGCUGGUCGCGCACAUCACACACUUCGUUCUUUCUUAAAGCCCUUUACUUAAUCCUUCGGGAAACCUUUUUUUUAAAUCCUUUAAUCCCUCAAUUUGAGUUCAAACACCCCCGAAGACAUGUCCGAAUCCCUCAAACCAGGGCUCUGAUACCAACUUGUAACGACCCAAUUUUCACGUCCAAAAAUUUCAUUUUUAAAUCAAUACUUUGGAAAACAUUUCUGAAUAAACAUCAUUUGAUCCUAUCAUUUCAUAAACAUAUUUUGUGUCUAAAAACCAAAACAUAAAAACAAUCGUAAUGUCAGAGUACAAAAUCCCUGAAUAACUCAUGGUGCGGAAAACAAUGUGCGUGUAUGAUGUGCUGCUACCGCGCCAGCUCCUUUCCCUUCAAAGAAGAGGUACCUGAAAACAAAACUGUAAACUGUAAACAUGAAGCUUAGUGAGUUCCACCAUCAUACCACAUACCAUACAAUCACAUAACACACAAAUAUUGUCAGGCAUAUAUGGGUGCCCGACCUACCCCUUCGGUCCUUUCGACCGGAUACUGCCUAGCAUAUCUGGGUGUUGGCCUCCCCUUCGGUCGUUUCGACUGGAUACUGCCUAGCAUAUCUGGGUGCUGGCCUCCCCUUCGGUCCUUUCGAUCGGAUACUGCCUAGCAUACCUGGGUGCUGGCCUCCCCUUCGGUCCUAUCGACCGGAUACUGCCUAGCAUAUCUGGGUGCUUGCCUCCCCUUCGUUCCUUUCGACCGGAUAUUGCCUAGUAUAUCUGGGUGCUGGCCUCCCCUUCGGUCCGUUCGACCAGAUACUGCCUAGCAUAUCUGGGUGCUGGCCUCAUCUUCGUUCCUUUCGACUGGAUACUCGGGGACUAUUUCACCCCUACUACUACCACAUAAUAUCAUAUCACACAUAUCAUAAUCUGGCUAGCAUGGCUGGGUACUAAACUACCCCUUCGAUCCUAUCGACCGGUAACCGGGGACUAUUUCACCCCUACUACCAUUAUCACAAAACAUCAUAACAUACUAGCACAUAAACAUAUCAAGUAGUAGCAAACCUAGAUGAAUAUCACAAAGACAAUCAUCUAACAUACAACUCCUACUGGUGGGCCGGCAUUGUGGCCGUAGACCCACCGCUACUGGAAGGUAACUCACCUCGAAAAGUAGCUGCUGAAAGUCUGCUUGCUAGACGACUGACUGCUGCACCGGCAAUCCUCCGGCUAUAAAUCCAUAAACAUAGAUUAGUCACUCCUAAAUACCCUUAGGUCAAAUGACUGACCUACCCCUGGUCCAAGGUCAACUCCUUGGUCAAAGUCAACUUCCAGUUAAAUGGACUCGUCGAGUCAUGGCACAGACUCGCCAAGUCCCUCUCCUACUAUCCCAUCACUAACUCAUCAAGUCCCUCUUCCCACUCACUGAGUCACCCUUAACUCACUACUUGGGACGAUUAGACCGACUCGCGAUCCGACUCACCGAGUCCGAGAACAACUCGCCGAGUCCCCCGAGCAGAUCUCCUACUCGCUUCCAAAUCCUCACCAGAGCAUCCAUUUUGAGGAUUUGGGUUUCUGGGACUAUUGAUAUACGUUAAAUUGCUAAUUCAGCGUGCAGCUACGAAGGGUUGGACCUUCUACACUUAAACCCCUCUUAAUUUAGUAACAUUUCAUAUGACUCGCCGAGUUUGAAGAACAACUCGUCGAGUUCCAUGCAAUCUUCAAAGGACUCACCGAGUUGUCCAUCCAACUCGUCGAGUCUAAGACCGUCUUCAUAGAACUCGCCGAGUCCACUUUGGAACUCGUCGAGUCCCUUCAAUCCUCCUCCCAUACAGACCAAAUCUGAGACAUGCAACGGUUCCAAACCAUAGAUCUAAACUCCUAGGGUAUGCUUAUCACGUAAAGUUGCAAACUUUACGUGCAUGCAUGGCCCUAUGAGCUCCAAAAGGCAAUUCCAAGCUCUUUAUGAGGUCAUACACUCAAUAGGGACCUCAAUCACUUCAACCACAGAGACUUUACACUUCUAAGGUGUCCAUAAGGUCUAGAUCAGAAGUCCUUUCAGAACAUAGAUCAUAACCACAUGGAGUUUGAGGUUUUAGGGCUUGAAAACCAUCAAUUAGGGACAAAAAGGGGAUCUAAUGAACUAGUGAUCAAGGUAGUAACUUUUCUACCUGAAUGGAGCUUCUCACAGUGUAGAUUUCAGAUCUACUUCCCCUCCUUGCACUCUUCAACCUCCUCCUUCUUCUUCUAAGCUCCAAACUUCCUUCACAAAGCCAAGAAUCACUCACAAGAACAAUGGGGGGCUAGGGUUUCGCUCAACAGCUCUCUGGAAGUGUUAAGGACAAGGGAGGCCGAGUUAGAGUAUUUAAAUAGGGUGCAAACCCCUAGAUUAGGGUUUUUGUCCAGACAGUGGCUACUCGCCGAGUCCGGGACCCAACUCACCGAGUCCGCAACUUAAACUUCGCGUCUCAUCCCGCUUCUACUCGGCGAGUCAGUCCUUCGACUUGCCGAGUCCAAGGCCAAUAUUGCAAAUCAAUAAAAGGAUUAAAUACAAGAAUACGUACCAAGAAUCAGGUGCUUCAGAAAAAUUCCAAGGGAAUGAUCAUACUAAUAAAAGCUAGGUAACUCAAUGCUUAUCGGAGUUAGCUAACUUCGAACAAAAGGAGAAUGAAUUUAUUGAAGCCUAUUACGAUCGAUUCAAUAAGCUCAUUUACAAGUGUACUAGGUAUGGUGUUGCCCGUACUACUCUCAAGUUCAACAUUACUUUCAUUCUAGGGCUGAAGAAGGAAUAGAAGAAUAUAUGUUUGAUGAUAAAGACUCAGGAGAACUUCAACACAUACUCAUAGUCGAAGCUCUACAACAUUUUGAAAGCUCACGAGUCUAAGGUGAAAGAGAUUGCAGAGUAAAAUAACAAAAUGAACUUUGGAGGUCCUUUGGCCAAACUAGCGAAAACUAAUGGGAAGGAAGCUUGUUCUGAUGGUGAAGCUGAUGAGAACAAAGAAUGUUUAUUGAUAAAUUCAGAUGACGAAGUUGUUGCAUGUUCAAAUAAUAUGUUAAAGAAGUUUUAUAAGAAGCCAAUAAGUGGAAACAUAAUAACAGAUCAGUUAAAAAGUCAUUGUCGAAUUCUGGUUUUGGUCAAAAGAGUGUCGAAAAAAUGGAAGAGAAGAAAGUUAAGAAGAAACCAAAUAGAUAUUCUAGUUACAAUUGCAGUUAUUGUAAUAGACAGAAUCAUCUUGCUUAUGAUUUCAUGUUAAGGAAGCAAGAGGAGAAGAAGGAGAAAGUAAAAGAUGAAUCCUAUUAUGCAAUGAAGAUUGAGGAGCUUCGUAUAAAGUCAAAGAAUCUCUCACUGGUUGUGAAGGAUUGAAAUGAUGAUGAUGGAACUUACGAAAUUUGGUCUUCUGGAUCUAACGACGAGGAGACAUGUUAUCCUGCUCAUGGAGUUAUGUUUGUGAAGCACGUUGUUAAUCAUUAUGAAGAUAAAAGCAUGUUUGGUGAGUUUAUGGAAGAGAGUGAAGAUGACAAACACUUGAUUUGGAAAGACAACAUCAUCUAUGCAUUUGAAGUUCGGAUACACCACAAAAUUCGAUUCGAGAUAAUGAGGACAUGUUUCCUUCAUUACCUUGUUGAAUUUAUCUGUUUCCUCAUACACUUGUUCAACAACAACUCUUGAAAUAAUUAUGUCACUAGAGUCAACUUCAUUAUCAUCAUCACUAUCAGUCAGACUGUCUUCCACAAUUACACGGUCACGGUCAUGAACUUUCGAAGUCGAGGGUUCGUCAGUGUUAUUCUUAACUAAAGAUUCAUCACAUUUUUCUUUACCCUUAUUUAUAGAAGUGACAUUAAUGACAUAUAACUUUGAACAAUCAACAACUUCCUCUUCCUCAAUUUCACUGAUAUUAUACGAAUCGUCUUUAAUAUCAGUAAAAUUGGUUUGUGAGUCAGAUGUCGAAUUCUCAGUUCUUUUCAAAAAGUUCCAUUUGUUCAUUUUUGGUCAAGAUCUUAUUUACAAUAUCAACAAGAUCAUUUGCAUCUAAACAUUCAUCAAUCUUAACAAUACCAUAUGCAUAUGAAUCAUUUGGGACCUUGUCAAACUCAUAUAUCUAUUUCUCACAGUCAUAGGAAGUCGAAUCAAUUUUCUCCCUUCAGUAAGCUAAAAAGGGUAAAAGCUUCCUAUGUUGUUCUUUACUAAUGUCUGAUGAAUGAUGAAAAUCAGUCAAUUUACCAUAAAGUCGCUUAGCAGAAUUGCAAUAGAUGUUUCUCUGUUUUAGCAAAAUACAGUCAUCCAUUUGUAGACAAUCUCUAUCACACAUAACAUUCGUCAAUUAUAAUUCAAUGUUAUCUAUCCUAUUGCACUUUGACUCAAAUCUUCUCUGACAAUCUAGUAGUAAGGAUUUUGAUUUUUAGUGUCACAACUAAAAGAGAUAAGUAUGUCAUUAAAGCAAGAUAUUGUAUUAUCGAAAUCCGACAAAAUAGCAUCAUAUGAACUAAAAGGAAUUUCAAAGUAUUCGAGAAGAGUACGUAUCUUAGAAGUCAUAGGAGACUUGUCAUCACUAGUAGUAGAAAAACAUUUUCCAGUCACCAUCCCUUCUUUCACACUUCCCUUUUCGAAAUUGGCAUACAUAGCACUAUGCGUGGGAUUUUGCAUCUCUUCAUCGUUUGAUGUAGAUGACCAGAUCUGAUAUGUGCCAUCCUCUUCACCACUUCCUUUAGCCACCAAAGAUACACCUUUCGUAUUUGCUCUAAACUCUUCAAGCCUCUCCACAUAUUAGGCUUGGUCUUUCACCCUAUUCUUCUUCUUCUCUUCUCUCUUACUUAACAUACACUCACUAGCUAUGUGGUUCGCACCAUUGCAAUAAUGACAAUCAAACCCAGAGUCACCCUUUAGCUUCUUCUCUGUCUUCGCAUCCUCAGACUUAACUUCCUUCUUCUUCACUUUCUUCUCCUCUCUCACAUUCUUCCCAAACGAACUUCCUUUCAAUUCACUUGUUUUAUACUUCAAAUUGAAUGGCUUAUUGAAAAAUUUCUUCACUUUAUUGUUUGAGUAAAAAGCCACAGCUUCAUCAUCAUAAUUAACAAUCAGUCCUUCAUAUUCUAAUCCUUCAUUCUCAGUUGACUCGAUCUCAACUUCUCUACUUGUCACCUUCGACAUCAUAGCUAGAGGACCACCCAAACUUUUUCUCAUUUCCUCAGCUAUCUCAUUGACUUUGCUUUCUUGAGCCUUCAACUUAUUCUAAAGAUCACUAAGAGAAAAGUUGUCGAAGCAUUGUUGGGUUUUUAUUAUCAAACUAACAUUGCGCCACUCCUUGCAAAGCCCCAUUAAGAAAGUCAAGUUGUACUCCAUUGUCGACCUAUUGAAUCCAUAUCUGCUACACUUGAAGAUUAAUUCAUUCAGACAAUCGUAGUAAAGCUCAACAUUCUCACUUUCUUUCUGCUUGAAUUAACCUAACUCAAGCCGACAUUGAGAACUCUUUUUGUUUUCUCACUUCCUUGGUACUUCUCCUUCAAUGUGUCCCAAAUUUCCAUGGCAGUAGAACAUCCACGGACAUAGUUAUACACAACAGGUGGAAGAUCACCUCGCAAUCCAUGCAUGCAUCUCUUAUCAUUUGCUUUAAACUUGUUAGUUUGAGUAGUUACAUCAAUGGAUAAACCAGCACUUCCGACAUCAGAAAGCAUCGAUAUACGAAAGUUACCGCUCUUAACACACCUCCAUAAAUCUUCAUUUAACCCUGUGAGUUAAUACUCCAUCCUGUCAGCCCAUUGUUCAUAGUAUUCGGGGAUUAACAUAGGAAUUUUGGUUGAAGAACCCAAAAGAUGAGAAAACUCUGACAUCGUGUUCAUAUUGAAGUUAGCCAUUGUUGUAUGGACGAGAUUUGAGAAAAGCUUCAAAAAUUAAGAUCUGAUAGAUGAAACUUCCAGAAAUCAAACACAGAACACUCAAUAUAACAAACUAAAAGAAGAAUAGAAUCAACACAGAUGAUCUGAAAAGAUUUUCAGAAUCAAAAGUGUUGAAUAUUCGAAUCUUGAACGAGAUUCAAAAACUUUUGAAAACUUGAGAAAAUAAGAGAUCAACCAUAAGAAUCCCGCUCUGAUACCAAAUGUAGUUCAUAUUUAUCGAGUAUAUGAAAUGAAAUCAAAGUUUGUAAUUGAAUCAAGAACACACAAGUAAAUAUAAUCUGGAUGGCUCGAUAAAACUUCUGAGAUACUAGUGAGUUUCUUAGAGUAAGAACAUUGAAGGCUCAAAAGUUACUCUAACUCUAGCACCUAUCCCUAUUUAUAGGAAUGAUAGAAGUUUACAAAAAAUACAUAAGGGAUAAAGCAAUUAAGCUUUGACAUAAAAAUGUGCCCUUACAUAAAACGAACAUGUAUUACAGACUUCGGCACUAACAAAUAACGAAGGACACUUCGAAACCUCACAACUAAAUUCGAACUCAACGGUUCGAGUAUUGCAGCCAGGGGUUGAGUGAUUGGUAAAUGGAUUGGGACAUCACUGUCAUCGAUAGGGGUAAUGUACUUCCAAAUUUCCACAUUCGUAGUAAAUAUAGAGUAGACAUGUGAUUUUCAUAGUUGGGAUGUAGUCCCCACAUAAUUCCAUAAGAUUGUGGCUUUCUUUGUCAACAAGUAUGGCGGCGUAGGAAUGCACAAAAGUAUUUUUUUAUUGUAUGGUUGCCUUGAGAUGAGAUCAGGGGUCUACUUUCUUAAAUUAGGUUAGGUCAGGUGCUAGUUGAUUAUUUUAGGAACCAAGGGGAGUGAAUCGGUAAGAGAAAAUUUUGUCGUCUCUGAUGUAUCUUGACUAAGAGAAUGAUGUGUCUUAUAUUCAUGAGUAAUGCUCACGAUGAAUUGUUUGUUGUGGAAUUAUAGGCGAGGAGUGUGGUAGCUCAUUUGUUUCUAGAUGGAGAAUCGGUGUCAUGAAUGGACAAAAUUAUUGUUUAUGCAUAUGCAUGGGGUUUUGAUGUUCGAGGUAGUUAUGUUUGGGAGGUUUUCGAGGUCUCCAUCUAAGAUUAGGAAUAAUUUUGAGUUCUCUUGGUCUUUAUCAGGAAGACCAACUUAUGUUGUGUUAUAUUCUAAAGUUUUGGGAUGCUAUGCAUCUGUUUGAACCGGUUUGAGAUUUGGUUUGUCUGCAACGUCAUAUGGUGGUAGUCUGAACCCUAAGUGGGGGAGAAUUGGCUAUUUUUCUUGAAGGAUCAUCAAUAUAUUUGAGUUUAUGAUUUUAGAAGAAUGCUCCAUAGGGGUUUUCAUUUUGGGCAUGUAAAACUUUGGUUCAGGAUUUGGUCAGGACGAAGGUACAUAGCAAGUUGUCAUCAGAUGUAUGUGUUCAGGAAUUCUAGUGUCGUCUUCGCGAAAAUAAGAUGUUGGAUAAGAAGCUUUUUGUUGCCAUUGGUUCCUUUCAUAAUGUUAGUGAAUAGAUCAAGAGGCGUUUGGGAUGCUCAGGUUGAGCAUCGAGUGUUGAUGGAUUUUUUCAACUCGUUAUAUAGAUUGCUAUCCAUGUUCUAGGGUGGGUAGUUUUUGAUCGAUAAAUCAGCUUCAGAGUUUGGUAUGUUUGUUUCACAUGGGUUUUUUAGUAGUGUAUUGGGUUAUUGGGUUAGUUGUCAAUGCUUUCUCGAUCGUUGGUCUUUUCAUCCAUCAUCAAAAGUGGAGGUUCUUCGAAAGUUUCGAGUUGUGUCAGUUGAAGCUUAAUGGAUGUGUCAACCUAUCGUCAAAUUCCAUAUGUUUUAUAUCUACUUUGGUGUCCGGGUAUGUUUACCCUCAAUUGUGGAGUAAAAUUUUGAUUCAUAACAGGCUCAAGUUUGGCAGUUAUCCUUGGUUAUUGGAAGUUUAGAUGUUGGGGCAGUAUUGUUCAACAUUUCUAGAUCACCUUGGAAGUUUUCUCGAGCUAUUGCAUAUAGGUGGGAUCUGUUCAGAUUCAAUCAAUAUGGGGAAUCUUGUUUCGGUCAUUCAUGAGGAUGUUUCUGUUAAUGGUUGAGGUUCAUCAUUUCAUUAAAUUUGUUGGUACCUCGCCAUUUGGGUAAGGCUGUGAGGAUGAAAGAGUGCAGUAGAUCCAGGGUUGGUUGUCUAUCUCCCCUUGGGGGUGUACAUUGUGAUAGUGCCUCGACUAUGGUCAUGAAGGAUGUAAGUGGUAUGAGUAAUAUAUCAUGAGACCGCCUGGUUAGUAUUAUUAGCAUGAUUAUCAUUUGGGUUAUAACUUUCGAUUCGGAACAAGAGUGUGACCAUCUAUCUCAUUCUAUGGUUAUAUGAGACCAUGUUUUCGUCUAGUUUUAUGUUGAUAUCAGUCUGUGUUUUGAAGGGAAUUGUGUGUGAUAGAAGGUUAUGGCCCAUGUUGUGCUUGGUUAGCAUUGAGAAGGAUGUUGAUUAGGUUCUUGCAGGUCAGUGCACUGGUGGUUGGGUAUCUUUAGGCCCCUAUGGUGCUGGUCGCAAGUCAUCAGGCCAUUGAUGUGAUAACAGCAAGAUCCGUAUAGUAUCGUGAGCUUAUUGUUUAGUGUUUAGCAGGUGUCACGAUGUACCGUGAAUCAAUGGAAGUAUGAUUUAUACAUUUAAGACCCGAUAGUCUUUUGAUUGGGACUCUUAGGUAUCGAAUCAUUAGCUUUUUGGGUGUUAGUGCAUUGUGGGAGUCGGGAGAGUCAGUGAACAGCUGGUUUGGAUCAUGUGGGCAGUUAAAGGGUGUUGGGAAUAAUAAUUGUGCAUCAGUAGUCGCUUGUAGAGCAUUUGCAUUAUGAACUCUAUCUGCUUGUGGGUUAUCUAUCAGGAGUUAGGUUACCAAUGUUGGGCAUCGAUUACGGAAUCUCGAGUCAUAAAGUUCAUAAGAUUGUAGAGCUUCUCAUUACCUUUAUGUGGAUAUAAAGAUUGUCGAAAAUGGAGUUGGAACGAAGAAGUUAUUAUUGUUUGAAGUUAAGAAGGUUUGGGGGCUUAGUAUAGUACGCUAGGCAUACUAGGUAUAUAUGGAGUACAUUAGGAGUACCUGGAGUAUGCUGGGCAUACUUAGGUUCUCAUGGAGUAUUUUGGGUGUACGCGAUUAGUGCCCAAACCCUGGUUUGAGCCCUAUUUAAGCUCCUUAACUUCCCCAAACCCAUUACAUUCUUAGCCUCCACCUCUCCAACACCCUCCCUUGAAACCCUAACCCUAGUUUGAGCCUUGUGAGUAAAAAGAAGGUUUUUUAAGUGCUAUGGAGUGUUCUUGGUGCAUCUUGGAGAAGAAGGAUCUCAUUAGAGAAGUGAUGGUUCCAUUGGAGUUUGUAGAUCUCGACUUUGCACAUCUUGAUCUUUCUUUUACAGGUAUAAAGUUUGAAUAUUGAUGAUGCAUUUGAUAGAUCUAGCUAAUGUUGGGUGUUAUGAGCUUUUGGUCACUUUAGUGCAUAAAGUUUAAAUCUUGAAAGUUUGUGACCUUGUUAUGGAUAAACUUGGAAACUUUAUCCAUCUAAACAUCAUAUUUAUUCAGAUCUAAAAGCUUGGACUUAGACUUAAUGGAUAAAGUUGGAAAAGAUGCACGUUUGGUCCCUUUAAGAUUUAAAGACUAGAUCUUGAUUGGUUGGACCAUUCUAAUGGAUAAAGUUGGAAAGUUUAUCCAUUAUGGAGUUAUUAAGAACCAUAAAAAUUCAAUCUUGAUGUGUUAUAUUGGACCAUGCAUGAGUUAGGGCUCUUAUUAUGGGUUUUAAUGGUCAAAAGCAAGUAUUGGGUCCCAUUGAGACAUGCCAAGGAGUAAAGUUGCCAACUUUAUGUGUUAAGACAUUAUUUAGGAUCAAGAUCUGAUAAGUAGACUUAGUGGCUUAACCAAUUUUUCACUUAAUGGUGAGAUUGGCCUGUUGUGGAGUACGUUGGGCGUACUCAACUCAUAUGCAGCACAUUCUAGCCAAAGGUGGCGCACGUCGAGCAUAAGUCUGAGUACACUAGGCGUACUUAGAGGCUAUUGACUUUCGUUGAAUUUUAAGAUUUGGGCCAUAUUUGGACUAUUAGGGUUUUAGGCUAUCUUGGGCCACUAGUCCUUUUAACUUUGGGUCAUUGUUAGGCAUUGAGCCUUCUUGGAUUUUGACACAUAAUCGGAUUUGGGUAUCAUUUAGAAAUUUUUGCCAUAUUGGGCUUUUGAUGCCAUUGGGUUAGGCCUCGAUUAUUGGGCCAAGUGAGAAAAAGGUAAAAUGGUCUUUUUACCCUGGAAGAUGGACAAAUGAAUCAGAUUCCUAGUUAUGGUUUAUGGCCCAAUUAUUAAUUGAUUAAUUAGCGCGGAGAUUAUCCGCAUUAACUGUUCAAGCAUUUAUUUGAUUUUCAGCGGGUUAAGGUAAGUCUCCUCCUAGUGUUUGGUGGGUCGAAUGCACCAAUGUCGGCCCAUGGAUUAUUAUUAUUUUUAUGUUAGUUUUCUGUGUGACUCUUGCAUGUGUUGUAUGUAUGUCGGGCGGGGGCCCGAUGCUAGGCGGGGGCUGAUGAGUGUAUUAUAGUAUGUUAGUUGUCUUUGUGACUCAUGUAUGUAUUGUAUGCAAUUGCAUGUAUAACGGGCGGGGCCUGAUGAAUGUAAUGGGUGGGGCCCAUCUCAUGUUCUUACAGAUCUGUUCCGAGCGGGGCUCGAUGCCGGGUGGAGCCCGAUGGUUGUUAGGCAUGACCCAUUGUAUGUUUGGUAUGUGUGGUAUGUAAUAUUUUUGGGAACUCACUAAGCUUUGUGCUUACGUUUUUAUAGUUAUGGUUUCAGGUACUUCUGGUUUGAAAGGAGGGUCCAGCUUGAUCGCAACGCAUCCCCCCAUGUUUUCGCAACUUUAUUAUUUUGGGAUUGUACUAUGAUAACUAUUUUCGCUCUGAUAUACUUUUGAAUGUUUAGAAAAGGAUAAUCGGUGUUUAUGAUUAAACUAAAAAAGAAAUUUUUACCUUAUAAUUUUUGGGACGCUACACGUUAUUGAAGCUCAAGUGUUUAAGGAUUCGGAGUUUCAAAGAAAAAGGAAAACAUUUUCUUGAACAAAAGUCGGUUCUUUACCAACAAUUUAAUAAAAAAAUUUACAAACCAAAUUUUUGUUACAAAAAGAAAUGAGGAUAAAGUUGAUCCAAAAAUAAAUGAUUUAUUGAAAGAAGAAAAUUUAAAAGUGAUUGAUAAAGGUUUUUAUUCAAAUCAAAAUGUUGAGGAAAAUGGUUUGAAUCAUAGAUAAAAAACUUUUCAACAUCAAAAGAGUAAAUUCUUUUUUUCAAAAGAGAAUAAAAAUAACAAAAAUGGUGUUUGGGUUGUGAAAACUACCAAUUCUGGUGCGAAGUCGAAUCAGAGAAGAGUUGUAAUAAGUCUUUACUAGAUGAUUUGAAGAAUAAAAAAGUAAUGACUCAAACUUUCGAAAAUAAAGUUUCUAAAAAAAACUCGAAAACAAAUCUUAUUGGAAAAAAAAGAGAUUUUUAGAAAGAAAGAAAAUUACAACAAAUAUCACCACAAACUCAAGAACAAGAUAAUCACAACAAUAGAAAACUCACUUUUCAAAAGGAGCUUUGAAAGUUGUUCACAAAGGUGUCAACAAAAGUGUUGAGAACAAAAAUUAAAAUGGUUUUUCAUAAAAUUGAAUGUUGUUCAAAAUUCAAAGAAUGAACAAAUUCAUAAAGGUCCAAAUUUUGAUCAAAGGCAUGUUCACAAGAAUCUUCCCAAAAAUCAUAAAAGUUUUCAAAAAGAAUCUCGUUUUUUAUAUCAAAAUCGUUUUCAACAAAAAGCACAAAAACCUUUUCGAAAACAAGUUUCUCAAAACCAACAAAGGUUGUGAAAGGCAAAAAGGAAAUGAAAAUUUUCAACCUGAUGGUCCACGUUUUUCCAAAUCCUAAUUCAAGACGCAAAUCGAAUGUUUUAUUUGUCAAAGGCAAAAAGGAAAUGAAAAUUUUCAAUCGAUGGUUUGAAGGAAAAGAAAAUAAAUUUCAAUCAAAAGAGUAUUUUCAAUAACAAGUCCAACACACUUUGUGAGAAUUACUUGAAUGAAUCAAUGGGUGGCAGUACUUCAUCAAGAGAAUCAUUGUCGAAGCCAUCAAAAUGGAAAGAAGUUAAAACAAUCAAGAAAGUUGAUUUUUCUGAAAGAAAUGUUGAAAAAGAGAAUCAAAGUUGAUGCUUCGAUAUUAAACGAUUUUAUUUUUGUGCCAAAAUCUGAUGAAGUUGAUUUAAUUGAUAAAAUCAAAAGAAAAGUUCGUAGUAGGAUUUUUAAUUCAACACUACCCACACAUUUUACACAAAUAUUGAAGUACCUAAAAGCCUCUAGGACCUAAAUCUCUCUGAAUGAUUGUAGAUUUCAUGUGAUGACCAAUAUAAUGAAAACCGAUACAUUGAAAGGGGAUGCUCUCAUCACAUGAGUAGAAGGAAAGAGAACCUGAAAGAUUUUAGGAAGUUAGACAAUGUUGGAGUUGUAAAGUUUGGUAAUAAUAAAAAAUGAAAAGCCAAAGUAUAUGGGAAGGUUACAAAUGGGAAUUUCACUAUGAAUAGAAUCGCUUAUGUUGAAGGUUUAAAGCACAACCUUAUAAGCAUCUCUUAACUUGUCGUGGGUACUAGGAAUCAAGUUCUGUUUGAUGAAGAAGGAAAUGUGAUUUCGAACAAAGAAAAAAAUUGUUAGAGUCGAAGAAGAAGGGCGAUAUGUUCGCUCUGGACAUAAAACCAAUAGUUGGCAUUCCUUAUGUUUGCUUAUUAUCAAAGGCCACUUCUGAUCUCAGUUGGGUUUGGCAUCAAAGGUUUUCUCAUCUUAAUCCAUAUUCUAAUAAAUGAAUAGUUCUAAUCUCAUUUUGUCAAGUGCCACUCUAAUACUACUCAUCAUUAAUAUUAUGUCAUGUGUCAUGUGGAUAUAUUAGGCAACUCAUUUCAAAAUUCAAAUUACAUUUUCUAAUUAUACGUUAAAUUUGAAGUUAUAAUAACUUUAAAUUUUUGAUAUAUCUCUUAAUUAAUAAUUUAUUUAAAAUGAUUUAUUUAAAAUAAUUGAUUAAUAAUAAAAAAAUUUAUUAUGAAAGUUUAAUUGAUUUUAUAACCUGCAGUUCCCACGGGGUAUAAACUAGUUUCAAAUAUAUGAAUAAACUUGUUUUAAAUGAUCUUGUUUGAGGUUUACCUAUUCUAAAAUUUAACAAUGAUUCUUUGUGUGCAGCUUGUGAGCAAGAGAAACAACAUUGACAAGGUCAUCCUAUAGUCAUCGAUUUGAAGGUUAUUGAACAAUUGGAACUUCUACACAUUGACUUGUGUGGUCCUUCGACUAUUGAGUCUCUCAAUGGGAAGAAAUGCAUGAUUGUCAUAUUAUAUGAUUUUUCCUGUUUCACUUGGGUUCAUUUUCUUAGACAGAAAUAUGAGACUACUCAAGUGAUGAUUGAUCUUAUCAAAAGUAUUGAAAUAAGUAUAAAAAAUAAAGUUCAACAUAUCAAAAGUGAAAAUGGAAUAGAAUUCAAGAAUCAAGUUCUUGAUUCAUUCUUGACGAAUCUUGGAAUUUAUCAUAAUUUCUCAUCUCCUUACACACUACAACAAAAUGGUGUUGUCGAAAGGAGAAAUCGAUCUUUGUGUGAAGUUGCUAAAAAAUGCUCACGUAUGCAAAUUUACCUCAAUAUUUUUUGGGCAGAAGCGAUUCCUACAGCUUGUAUCACACAAAAUCGUUCUUUCAUUCAUUAAAGAUUUAACAUCACACCUUAUGAAAUCAUUAACAGAAGGAAACGUAAUGUAAAAUUUUUCCAUGUUUUUGGUCGUAGAUGCGUUAUCAUGAAUCUAAAAGAUUAUCAUUCGAACAUUUACUUUGAAUGAGAUGAGAUUUUCGUCUGAACAUUUACUUCGAUUUUUAGUCACCUAAAAAUUUAUCAUUCGAACACAAAAUCCAAUUCUUCAUUUUUUUUUUAUGAGAUGAGAUUUUCAUCUGAACAUUUACUUUGAUUUUUAGUCACCUAAUUUUUCCAAAGCUUACAUGAUGUUGAUUAUACUGGUCAUACAAGUAUUUUCUUACAAUGUUUCACUCUUAUGUUAAGUGGCGAACUUGUAUGAAAAUUAAGCCUACCUUCGAAACUUGUUAAAAGUGGCCUUUCAAAAUUUCUCUAUAAGUAUUCAAUUGUAAUUCACGGGUAGAAGAAUGAGAAUUAGAACCGGAAAACCGGACCGGAAUCGAAACCAUUAGAACCGGAAAAUGUAAAAUCGGUCCGGGUCCCAGGUUAAAGAAUGGUUCUAUCUAGGUUUUGGGUAAUCGGGGUUUCGGGUCCUUCAGUCCCAUGUAAACCGGGUUUAAGAUCUAGAAGCGUGUUAGGAACCGAAACCGGUAUUAGGGGCCGAAACCGGUUUCUGUAAAAAGUUUAUACCUUGCAUAUCUCAUUCGUUUGAAGUCAAUAAUGAUUUUAAACUAUAAUUUUGUUAUUUUUAGUUUUAUAUUCAUUAAUGCCUUACAAAGUCGGGAUAUCAAAACCAAAAAUUUUAUGUUUUUUAACUGUUUUUGUUGUAUUCUGUGAUAGUUUUAAAACAUACAUAUCUAAUUCGUUUGUGGUCGGAAUAUCAUUCGCUUUUUUCCAAAGUGAAAUAUAGAGUUUGUGCACAUUUUAACUUUAAAUUUGUCAUUUUUAGUUUCAUAUUCAAUCAUUUAUAGUCUCCCGAAGUCGGGAUAUCAAAGUUGUGAAUUUUCUAUUUUUAGCUUUAUGUUUGUAUUUUGUGAAAUUUCAAAACAUACAUAUAUAAUUCGUUUGAAGUCUAAUCCCACAAGCAAAAGAAUUCUACAGUACCAAAUAACAUAAAAACAGAUUGAUUCUCAUAAAAAAAAAACAAAAAAAAGAUAUAAUUCUUCUAUUCAAAAAUUCAAUAUUCAAAUUAUUAUUUUUUACAUUACAGGAAUUAAUAAAAACUAAGAAAGAAAUAUGAUAGUCUACCAACAAAAGAAAUUAUUCUUAUUUGAUUGAAGUUACAGAAUUAUAAUGAGGUGUUUUGCAACAUGUAUUUUAAAGUUUGUAUAUGAUUUUAAACUAUAAAUUUGUUAUUUUUGAUUUAAUAUUCAAUAACUUAUCUACCAAAGUUUUAUCAAAGUUAAAAAUUUUCAAAGUUCAACCACUAAAUAGUUACCUAAAAAUUUCAAUUUUCCCGGGUUUUUCAGUUUUAGACUCACUUUGAUGUUUCUAGGUUUUCCAAUUUAAGACCCACUUUACCCAAUACCUUACCCAUAACCGACCCAGUACCAUCUCUUAUAUACCAAUCCGGUUUUUGAUUCUACAAAAUCUCAUUGUUUUAGACUCACUUUGAUGUUUCUAGGUUUUCCAAUUUAAGACCCACUUUACGCAAUACCUUACCCAUAACCGACCCAGUACCAUCUCUUAUAUACCAAUCCGGUGAUUCUACAAAAUCUCAUUGUUUUAGACUCACUUUGAUGUUUCUAGGUUUUCCAAUUUAAGACCCACUUUACGCAAUACCUUACCCAUAAAUAACCGACCCAGUACCAUCUCUUAUAUACCAAUCCGGUUUUUGAUUCAACAAAAUCUCAUUGUUUUAGACUCACUUUGAUGUUUCUAGGUUUUCCAAUUUAAGACCCACUUUACGCAAUCCCUUACCCAUAACCGACCCAGUACCAUCUCUUAUAUACCAAUCCAGUUUUUGAUUCUACAAAAUCUCAUUGUUUUAGACUCACUUUGAUGUUUCUAGGUUUUCCAAUUUAAGACCCACUUUACGCAAUACCUUACCCAUAACCGACCCAGUACCAUCUCUUAUAUACCAAUCCGGUUUUUGAUUCUACAAAAUCUCAUUAACCGGUUUCCGAAUUUGGACCCUCUCUCUGGGAAAUUAUAAAAAGCACUUCGGUUUUUCUCAUAAUUACCUUUAUAUCAAAGUUUCUUUGAUAUCUACACUAUCCAAAUUUUUCUUAUUUUGACUCUAUCUUUUCUUUUUUGGAAAACAUUGACAAUAAAAACGUUGAGGUUUUAGGUAUUACCAUUUACCAAAGGAAAACAUUGACACUAAAAACGUUGAGGUUUUAGGUAUUACCAUUUACCAUCUAAUACCAAGAUUUUGCAAAGUCUGAUUUAUAAUUUAAUUAAUCAUUUUCAUAAGUAAAUGAGGACAACCUUGUCUUUUACUUUUACUAUUUGAGACACCUUACAAAUGUUUUUGUCUUUCAAGUAGUCAUUAUCAAACUUUUUUUAGGGAUGAAAACAACAACUUAAAAAUUUCUUUCAAACAAAUCUAACUAUUUUUAGAAUCAAUAACUAAUAAAGUUCUUAUAAAAGUGUUCAUUUUAUAAGCACUAUUCUAGUAACUUUAAUUUAUAAAUUUAUAUUUGUCUGCAAUGAAGUUUAUAAAAUGUUCAUUUUAUUUCAUGGAAUUAAAUCGAUAGUUCAAGUAACUUCAGUUUACAGAUUUAUAUUUGUCUGAUUUGUUAAAUCAGACAACCAAUGAUCUCUCAAAGAGAUAAAAUAACCUAUAUUUAUUAUUUAUGCAAAUCAUUACCAAAUACUUUAUUUUUUUACUUUGAAUAAAUGGUUUUUUUGGAAUUUCAUACCAUGAAAUCGUUUAUUAAAUUAUAUAACUUAUAAAUUGAAUUAUCUAAUAGAAUUGUAGAAACAUCUGGUUGCACAAGCAAACAAUAACACUAGAGACACAAACCAGUCUGCUCCAAUUCAUUUAGGCAAACGUUCAGCACUAAAAACACUAUAGAAUAAGCGCAUUAGCGACUCUAAAAUGUUGCCAUAAAUCGCAUUUUAAUCAACAAAAGAACUUUAUAUAAUAAAAUAUAUAGAUACAUAAAGAUGUAAGAACAUCUGAAUGCAUAAGCCUUGUAAAACAGACAAAUGCCAGAAUCUCAGUUACAUAUUGUUAUCGGCAACGUACAGCACUGAAUACACUACCAAAAAGCAGAUCAGAGACUCUAAUUUGUUGCCUUUAAUCCCAUCAUUACCGAAUAAAUCCAAAUGAACUUUAAAAAAAAAUACUAAUCAAUGAAAUUAUUAAGAGAUUUUGAAAACGGAAUCAUAGGCUCAGUUGAAUGUUAAUCAUCAAAGAAAAGCGUAAAGCUUUCAGAGUUUGAUGGUAUGUUUGUUUUCGUCAUCAUUGCCUUGAUCAGCGAUUAGAAAAGGAAAAAACACAUGUUCAAACAUACAAAACAGAUGCGUGAAUUGGUAAAACGAGAGGAACACAGAGCCAUGAAUCUACCUCAUAAGCUGAUUCCUUGCAGACGUUAACAGAAAAGAGAGGAAUAAUUUUGAUGAUGAAGCUGCUUGAAGAACGUAGUUAUAUAGAAACUAAUGAAACCCUAGUUCCAAAUGUACACAAGCCCAUCUACAGAAUUUUUGCUAAGCCUCUUAAUGCCAGUUUAGUCCGGUAUACAAUCUAUUGGGCCUCACCAUAAUUAUUUUCUUUUUCAAUUUGUGAUUGGGUUUUGUAAUACAAAUUAAUCAAAUUUAAAUUUAUAGCAUUUUAAUUUGGAGUUUACAAUCUAUGCUUCAUUUUGAGAUGGUUUAUUAAUCGGAAUUAACAACAAAUUAAGAUUAAAAUUAUAUUUGGCACGCUAUAACUAAUUUAUAAACUAUAUGAUUUUUUUUUGGGUUUUUAGAUUGUUAUUUGCGAAAAUCUUGGUCAUAUGUGAUUUUUUUGCCAAACAACGUUGUUGUGUACAUCGAUUAUUGCGAAAAUAUCCCUAUUGACCAAGAAAAUCUAGGUUGAUUUUCGCAGAUUACGUUUAUGAACAUCUAGUGGUUUUUCUAGCUUUAAACAUUAAUAACUCUACGUUUGAAUGAUUUUUUUCAUUAUAUAGUGCACAUAUCCCACUCAAAUUUGGAUGAUGGGAAGGCAUAGUUUUUUACCUCUAAAGGAUGAUCUUUAUUCUUUACUGAAAAAAAAAAAGAAGAAAAAUGAUUCAAUUUUAAACUUUCAUAACUCUUUAAUAUGAAGUAUGUUUGAGACAAUAAAAUUAAAAAAAAUAAUAAUAAUAAAAAUAAAUAAAUCGUUGUGUUCUAUAUAACAAGGAUUAUCCAUGGACAUAUCACAUUUUAAAUUUGGAUGCUGGAAAGAUAUACUUUUUUAGGUCUAAAAUAGUUAAAUUGGCAUAACAGCUUCCUGUUGAAAUAACAAGUCAUUGGUGAUGUGGCAAUUCUAAUUAAAUGUUUGAAUUUCGUACUUAAAUUGUAUAUUUUUACAGUCAAAUUGACAUGACAACUCUUUACUAAAAUGACAAAUGACAACUCUCUACUAAAAUGACAAGUCACUAGUGAAAUGACAAUUCUUAUUAAAUGUUUGAAUUUCGUAGUUAAAGUAUACAUGUUCAUAGUCAAAUUGGCAUGACAACUUCAUGGUGAAGUGACAAGUCACUCUUGAAAUGAAAUUUUGAUAAUAGUUGUUUUUAUCGACUAUAAAUAAGACUCAGUGGUUAUUCAAUUAUACAGCUCAAAGAUGACAGCAAAUGAACCCCUUCUUUGGGCUUUAUAAAAUGAGAUCACGAUGUUGAUUAUCUUUAAGGAUAAUAUUAUUGUCAUCGGUCUCCCACAUUUGAUGUAUGGAUCACUUUUGGGUCCAUUUGACAAAUAUGUUUCACUACGAAUUAAGUCAUAGAUCAUAUCAAACAAAAGAAGAAGUGAAUGCUAAGUUUAAGGAUUUAACAAAGGAGGUGAAAAUCUUCAAAAAAAAAUUUAUCACAAUAUCACCAAUGAAUUGUCGAAAGAAGAUGAAGAUUCAAUUUUGGAGGCGACUAAGGAGCAAUACAAAAUCCAACAUGACGAAGCCUACUUUGCAUAAUAAGAUGUUUGGAAUGCUUGAGAAUUUGUUACGUAUUUAUAAUUUAUUUUUUAUUUGUGCCAUGUAAUAAUAAAUAAUGACAAUAAUUGUAUUUUCAUAUUUCUAAAUCCAAACAUAAUUAAUUUUGAUCAAACAUAAAUUAUUCGAUAACUAUGGUUAAACCGACCAUCAUUGGGUUUGGUAUUUCCCAUUCAAAAGGAUGUGACAUAGGAUGCAUACUUGACGUUUGGUAUGCAACUCGAUAUACACCAUACCUCCGAUAUAGUUUAACCAUGGGGUAAAAGUUUGUGUAGGUUAAAAAGUAUGUUUGUCGCUAGAGCAUGACUGCAUGUUAUACCACGAUGGUGCCACUUCCUACAUGUACAUGUUCAAAGUUGUAGAUCUACAACACAAGUAUCCCUAAAUCCUUUACUUGGAAUAUGUCAUGAAGGAAUUUUGAAAAACCAUUUGUCUUGCCUACCACCGGAUAGACUUGUACAUCCACCUUUGAAGCACCAUCUCUACAUAAGGGUGAGUACAACAGUAACCCCGUGAAAAAAUAAAUAUUUUUAUUUAGUCAUUUUGAAAGUACAUAAUAUUCCAUUAUUACGUUCCAACGGAUGUUAAGGAAACUGGAUCUUGCCCAUUUUGCAUGACCAAAAUUGGCAAGUUACUCGCAUGAAGUCCAUGCUGCAUGUUGUAGUCGACAAAAGUUUUCUUCAAAAUCAUACAUUGUAGAUGAUUUUCAUGUCUGCCAAAACAAAAGAUCAGAUGACAUAUUUCGACCAACGACAGCGCACAUAACAUUAAGCACACUCUUACAACAAUAUCAGUUAUAUGAAUUAGCGAAUACCUAACUUAGGGGAAAAAAUUAUCACAUCAUACAUAUUGGUUAUGAACACUACUUCCCUAGUGUCCCUAAUAGCUUACUUCAGCCUCAUCAGGAACCAGGUAUAAUAGUUGACAUUAUUUGUCAUGUCUGGAUAAAAACGUUAUAUAUAGGGAAAUCGCUAUGAACAUUAACUGUAGGUAGGCCCCUAUUAAAGGGACACUACUUAUAAAGAUGACAGGUAGUGUGCACACGAGGUGUAACGACCUGACUAUUCUAAUAUUGUCAUCAAGGUUAGUUCUGUUAUGUUUUAUGUUAAAUUACCAUUUUAUCUUGUUAGAUGAAAGUUAUGGGUAACAAAUGUGCAAGAAAACAAUAUUUGGUCAUGUAUAUGGGCAAUGGAGUCAUUUCUUGCACUUGGAUAGUCUAGCUUGUAACUUGUGUUGUAUUUUAGGAUACCUAACCUUAAAAUCUAGGAAUUCAUUCCAUUUGCAGCCACCAAGUACUUCUAAAGAGAAUUCUUGAGAGAGUUAUUGAGGGAGCUUUCAUAUAUGGAGUUAUAAACAUAUCGUACCCUUUUUGGUGGAGUUUUAAAGUGGAGUUCUUGGAUUGCUUCCUUUUAAUCAAAUAUUUGAAGUUCCUCACAUCCACAACUGGUAUAAAUCAUUUUCUUUGAAUUCAUUUUUGUCCUUUUAAGUUACACUCAUGAAGGAACCUUGGAUGAUGCAAAAAUCCAUGGUUUAGGAGUGUUGAUUGGUCGCAUUAGUGUUCUAAUCAUUAUAGACACUUUGGUGUGGUCUUGAGGGGUUAAAAUCACCCCAAGAGAGGCUUUGAUCGAACCCAAAUCGAUAUAAAAAUGUAUGAUCAUUGGAAUUCUCAUUUGUAGUUGUUAGCGUCACCACAACAUGGUGCACAACCAACACAACACAAUGACAGGAGACUCAACAUUUUAAAUCGCGGCCUGGUACCGGGAUGCGGUGCGGUCUGUUACCCAUUGUGGCACAUUUGGCAUUAACAUAAUUGUUUUUGUUUUGCGCUUUGUUUUUUAUCAGGUUGUUGUGUGAUGUUCCAGGGUACUUAGUUCUUGUUGGGAAGUGCUUCUCCUAUGUUUAUAACGCCACCACAUCUUAGACUAGGGGCGAGUCAAUCCUUGUGGAAAUUUUAAGUACUUUGUUAGAGAAUUCCAUAUAUUAGAUUGGUUGGAAUGAACCUAGAAUGUUGUAGGAUGCAUAUACCCUACUUUUGGUUGGGUAUGCUUAUUGGGAAUGAAGAUUCCUUAGUGUGAUUAAGAUUUUAGGUUGUGUUACAUGGUAGACUUUUGGUUUGGUAUUUUGUUGUGAGGGUGUGAUAGGUUCAUUCCAUAAAGAGGUUUUGUGUUGAUUGUGAAUGGUGAAUGUCAUUUAUGAAAUUAUUUGUAUAUGAUGAUCAGGACAAAGCAUGCUAGUGAUAUGCUAUGCCAUAAUGAUUAAAUGAUGACAUGUACAUGAUAUUGUAUGUUGAUGUAAAAUGUCUUAACUUGUAUUAACUAGUAUGCAUGUUUACAUAAUGAGUAACUUGGAAUGUAAUAUGCCUUUAAUAAUAAAAAAAUGAGCAUGAUUACUUAGGAAGUUUUUCAUAUGUAUUUCCUUGAGUACUGAAUUAAUAGCAUAUCAGUAAAAGGGGGAAUACAGUUUAUGGGGUUAAGGGUAGCAACCUAGACAUAGGUGAGUAUCUUAUCCGGAUUUUAUGGUGGCCUAAUAGGUUGAAGUAUAUCCGAAUUGUACGGUGGCCUAAUAGGUGUGUAUCCUAUCUAGAUUGUACGCUGGCCUAAUAGGUUGAAGUAUAGAAUAAGAGCUUAAGACAACGAAGAUGUUGAGUGGUUUUUCUAGACAAUGACUCGUGACAUGGUCCUUGUAGUGGGUGGAUUGGAUUGAUGUUGGAAAUACGAUAGGGCCAACGCAAACACCAUAUGGGAUUUUGGAGGCAUAACAUAAUGUAAUUGGAACAACUUGUACCAAUCAUCAACUAAAAUUCAUGCACUGGUAUAUCCAACGUCAGAGUAGAGACACAACGAAUCGGUGCAAUGUUUCGGGUGAGAGUCUCACCUCACUUAGUGCACUGGGUCGUGUCGGUCGUGUAAGUAGUGAACGGGAUACUUACCUUAGGGUUAGUGACAAACAUAUAUACUUGUAACGAGGAAGUAAAAUGAGGAAUAAUUACAAAAUUAAUUAAAGAAGAGUAAUUAUUGACAAUUAAAAUGAAGAUUAGUAUUCUAAAAAAUAUUAUAGUGAUGAAAAAUGACGAAUAAUUACAAAGUAGAAUAAUGAAGUGUAAUUAAUUACGGAGACUCAAAUGGAUAAUAAUAUUGUUAUAUUACCUUGAUGAUUAUAUGUUGAAUUUGAUGUCAUGCAAUGUGUGUAUUUGAUUGCAUGAUUAUUUGAUUAUUCGUUUGACCCGUUUGGGAUAUGUACGUUCCAUAACACUGUACUUAUGAAUGACUCACUUAGCGUAUGGUGACACUUGUUUCUUUGCAUGUUGCUCUUUCCUUGCUUUGGUACAAGUACCAUGAUUUUGAUGGCUUGGUGAAGAUGGUUACUUUUGGGUAGUUAAAUUUAGUGUUACUUAGGUGAUGAUACAUAUUUGGACAUGUCGUUGAGUUUUCAUUUUCAUUUGGUUUUGAGAACUUUUAUUUUGAUGGAGGUUGUUUUGGAAAUAAAGUAAUAUUGGUGAUGUUUUUGAAUGUUUGUUAAAAAGACUUCCGCUAAACAUAUUCUAUUAAAUGUGUUUUAAAAAUAAACAAAAAAUGAGGUGAAAAAUCACGGUGUUACAUGAGGAAUGUAUGAAGCUACAUUUUUCAAGCAAAAUAAAAAAAUUUAUUUGAACAUAAUUAAUAAGUUUGAAUAUAACAUAUAAAAUUUGGACCAAAGUUAUGUUACCACACUUCCAACAACCCUAAAAAAAUUGAAAAUAAUCCAUAAGAUAUGUUAAGAAUUCUGAUAUUGGUGUAACUAUGGCAGUUCGUUCUUCCAAGGUUAUGCAAGUAAGUAAACAAGUUGGCAAAAAUUUCUUCAUGACCACUAUAUAAGAAACUCAUUUUGAACCAAUGCUAAAACAUAAAUAUGAAUACUUGGUUAUGAAUGAAAUAUAAGAAGGUGUUGAUGCAUAAAGUGACCCUCGCUGACUAAAUGUGUUAUGGUGAUAUGUGAAUUUAUUGUUGGUGUAUAAGAUAUGUGAAGCGUGUUUGUUUUGAGUCAAGCGAAGAAGUUCUUUUUGUAAUAUGUGAAGAUUUGUUAUAGGAUGAUGUUGUUGUGCGAAUUUUGGAGAUAAAAAGGCUAUGUAAAGAUGUAAAGAUCAUUUUAUCUUGAAGUGAUGUGAAUGGAAGUACAGUGUCAUCCUUAUCCCUGAAGAUUUGCUAAAGAGAUUUUGUCAGAACAAGCGUGGUAAGCAUGGCCACCUACACACCAUACCUUUAUAUAACCAAUCAAUAGUGUACCUUGUUUAGCUACAAACAGAGGGUAUUAGUUUAUGUUCAAAAGUGUGUUUGGAUUAAUUAUUCCUUUUUGUAAUAGUUUUUAUUGAAAUACAAGUCUCUUUUAUCUCUAUUUAUACUCUUGUUGUUCAUCACUUACUAACUUUGUAGCAUGCCAAACAAGUGACGAUUCAACAAAGUAUUCCAUGCUUAUGUUUAUUCAGUUAUGUUGCAUUUAAACCAAGUUACGAUUCAACAAAGUAUUAUUUUCAUGAGACUUCCACCUCGCCAAUUGACGGGGAAAGUGCAAUUACUAAUCUUGUAGUAGUUACAACCAUCGAGGUUCUAGUCAUUGAAGAAGUUAUCCCGACAAUCAACAACAAUCAAUCUCAUGCCACUAGAGACACUGAAAUUGAAAAUAUUAAGGCAAUAGAAACAAAACCAAAAGUUCCCAGAAUCACCCUCGUAUCAGCUCAGGGGGGAACCAUUAGUUGAGGGGCCAUCAACUUCCCAGGGGAAUCUUCAUCAUUAGCUGCACAAUUGAUUCCUAAUGUUCAAGACCUAUCUAUAGGAUGAUCAUGGACCGAGGAGGAACAAGUUCAAAAUGUUUAGAGAAUUCAAUCUCCCAAAGUUGAAGACAUUCCAUCAAAUGUGGCUGUUGAGCAUCAUCAAUCACAUCUACAUACCUGGAUAAGAAAUCAUCCACCCAAUCACAUUUACAUACCUGGAUAAGAAAUCAUCCACCCAAUUAGAUAAUAGGAAGUCCUUUUGCUGUUAUCCAAACUUGAUCAUCUGAUGACUUAACCAAACACUGUCACUACGCAACCUUUAUGUCAUUAGUAGAACCCGAAAUGAUUCAAGACGCUCUAUCGAGACAUGACUAGAUUGUUUCAAUACAAGAAGAGAUAGCAGAGUUUGAAAGAAACAAAGUUUUGAAACUUGUUCCUAGGCCAAAGGGACAUACCAUAGUUGGAACUUAUUGGGUAUUUUAUAAAAAAAUGGAUGAUACAUGUGUGGUAAUAAGAAACAAAGAACAACUGGUAGCAAAAGGAUAUGGCCAAUUGGAAGGAAUUGACUACAAUGAAACACAUGCUCUAGUCGUGAGGCUAGAGGCCAUACACAUCUUCCUAGCGUAUGCGACAUGUAAAAACGUCAAGGUACAUCAAAUGGAUGUUAAAAGUUCUUUCCUCAAUGGCGAGCUGAAAGAAGAGGUAUAAUUACAACAACUUCCUGGGUUUGAAAAUCUUGAUCCACCCUAUUACUAUUACAAAUUGGAAAAAGAUGUUUAUGACUUGAAGCAGGCACUAACAGAUUGGUAUGAAACUAUCUAUACAUUUCUUAUUGAGUCAAGAUUCAAGUGUGGGGUCAUUGAUCCUAUCCCCUUCUGACUAUUAAGUGAAAAACAUUUAAUGCUUGUGUAAAUUUACGUGGAUGACAUCAUUUUUGCUCAACAUAUCAAGUAAUGGUAGACAACUUCACAAAGCUUAAUGAUAAGAAGAUUUCAAAUGAGUAUAAAUAGAGAGAUUAUCUUCUUUCUAAGAUUAAAAAUCAAGAAAGUCCCUCAAAGAAUCAUUUUUCAUCAAGAGAAAUACACCACAUAACUUUUAAAGAAAUAUUCUUUGGAAACCUGCUCAUCAGCCAAGGUCCUGAUGCCCUUCAGUUACAAAAUCACAACGGAUCCCACCGGAGAGUCAGUUGAUCAGAAUAUUUACAGAGGAAUGAUUGGUUCACUACCUUAAUUAACCACAAGUAGGCCAUAUAUUAUAUUUGCAAUAGUUUUGUUUGCCAGGUACCAGACUAAUCCUAAAGUAUCUCAUCUGAAUGCAGUCAAACAUAUAUCUAGAUACCUCAAAGACUUUAGUACCCAUCAGGAAAUGACUUUGGUCUACAAGCUUUCACAUAUUUAGACCAUGUAGGAUGUAGAGUGGAUCGGAAGAUCAUGUCUGGAGGAUGUCAAUUCCUUGGUGGUAGAUUGGUAAGUCGGUCAUCUAGGAAACAAAACUAUAUAUCUUUAUCCACUACAAAAGCUAAAUACAUCACAACGACCAAUUUCUACUUGCAAGUCUUAUGGAUGAAAACUCAAUUCAUGGAUUAUAGCUACAAAAUGCUUCACAUACCAAUUUAUUAUGAUUCUGAAAGUGCAAUUGCAAUCUCACAUAAUCCAAUUCAACACUCCAAGAUGAAGCACAUUGAAUUAAGGUAUCAGUUCAUCAAGGAUAAUAUUCUCAAAGGUAACAUUGAAUUAAUUUUUGUUCCUUCACAUGAUGAAAUAGUCGAUGUUUUCACCAAAGCACUUAAUUCCAACAAACUGAAUGGUUUACUAAAAUGUUAGGAAUGAUGAAUCCUGACCCUCGGUUCCUUUUAAAUAUAUAAAUUCGCAUACUAUAAAUUCUUCGCAACUAACAAAUAUUUAUGCUUCACUCAUUAUGAUAAAUUGAUGAAGUACAUACAUACUUUAUCAUGAAUCAAAUGAAUAUUUUAUUCACCGAGUAGAUUCUCUAAACCUUUGAAGCACAUAUAUUUUUCUAUGUUUUAAUUUUCUCAUUUUUAAGUUUAACUCUUGAGCACAAUGUUCAUAUAUUAUACAUUGGUAAAAUCCGUUCUCCGAAGUUUAUUUAUGAUCUACGUACUCUUCGGGUCGCUAUAUUAUUUUUAUAUCUAACUUCGUAUUUAAGUUUUCUCUUCAGUGGUAAUCCAACUUAUGCAUACCUUAUCUCAUACUGUAGAUCUACCUUCAAGAACACCAAAGUUAUUCUCAUGUAUGACAAUAAAUAAAGUUCAAAGGAUGUGCUAUUUAAUGAAUUAUGAUAAAAUAUUUGUGAUUUCAAAAUGAAUGUUUUUAUUCCAAUUCAUUGAAUAACUUUUUCCUUUAGUGUCUUUUCAAAAUCUGGCGUGGACACAUGUUGUGUUCACCUUUUCUUAAAUAAAAUGAAGAGACUUAUUUUCAAUAAAAUUGUUUCACCAACUUGUCAUUAAUAUGACACUGUGCAUAUCAACCGUCAUACGGUUCUCCCCUCCUCCUGUGACAGCCCGUUAUUUUCAUUAUUGUAAAAGUCAAACUAAGUCAAGCUUAUUAUUUUGAUUUACUUAUUUAAAGUUAGAUUGAUAACCAAUAUGUGUUUAAAAUCCUUAUAUUAGAAGUGUAAUGCUUAAUCCGAGAAGUCUCGCAUGCGCCGCAAACCCUCGGUUCGCAGCCGAGAACCCUCGCGUAACUUAAGACUUCGGACUGAUAACUCCCUCCAGACCGCAAACGUGCGAACUUUCCAUUUUUGGCUGAAAACUCUCUUCUGACCGCAAACCUCGGUCUUAUCCUAUUGGUUUGCAAAUCAAUGCAUGUUUCCCAUCAUGAUUUCGACCCUAUUUAUAUGGAGGGACUGAAAACACAUCUUUGCUUCUACACUUCUGGCCGAAAACACCCUUUUUACUCUCAAGAAUACCAACCGAAAACCCCUAAUUCUCUCUCAACUAUCAUGAAAAAUCCUUUGUAUCUCCUUCGGAUCUUUCCAAGAAUAUCAAGUGUUCUUCAUUUCAUCAUGAUCCUCAGCCGAAAACCCUUGAAUCUCCUUGGUUUCACCAAGAACACCAAGAUCUUCAUUGGGCCGAAAACCCAAAGGACUAGCUGAAAACUCAUUGCAACCUUCCUAAAUCACUUCUAACACUCUUAUUUGUAAGUGAAACUUACAAAUUAGUUUAGUUCCAUAACGUACUUGCGAUUAUAUUCACUAAUUGUAUACACAUAUAUUGUGUGAAAUGCUUUUAGGACGUCUUUUUGCCUCGGGAUCUAACUUGUAGAAACAAACAUCCUAUAUCGAACCUUCAAAUGAAUCACUCUUAUAAGGUGAGUUCAUACCCCUACAAUUUACCCUUUUCAAUGUUUUAGGGGGGAAUACAAGUAGAACACAAUUUAAUUGUGUUACUCUUGCAUGUGAAAACAAACAAACGAAUGAUUUCUUAUGCUUAUAAAUAUUGUUAAAAUCAUUUCAAAACUCUUUUAAAUUAUUUUAGAUUUCUGUUUAUACCAAAAUCUUAUUCGUUUGUAUAUUUAUGUAUAAUCAUGCUUUAAUGGACUUAGGACUAUUGCUAAAUAUCUUAACUCCUGUUCCUUGUUUGGUUGUGGGCUUAGGUAGGAUCACUAGUCCGAAUGUCGGCUAAAUCAUAAUUAUACAUGUUAAAAUAUAUACAUGAAUAUUAAAUCUCAUUUUCAAAUACAUACUUAACUCAGUUGCAUGUGUUGGGAAAUUGAGUCUUUUAUCCAAAUCAUUUACAGUUCAAACAAAAUGUACUAGUAAACUAUAAUAGGUAUAGUUUAGAGAAUCAAUUCAUACUAUUUUCUAGAUCAGAGAAUGUGAUAACCAUCAAUUUCCGGUCAAGUCAAAGUCAACUGAAGUCAACAAGUCAAACCGUUCGACUCAAUUUGCCCGUGGGUACUAGAGUUUACGUUAUGUAAUUUCUAAACAACUCGUUAUUCUAAUGAGAGAUCAUAAAUCGAAAAGUACGUACAUCUAGAUCUCCUUAACCUAAAACUGUGGUAAGUGACGAGCCAAACCGAUAAAACAAUGUUGCAUACUCAUCGGGAGUGUGUAAGAUCCUUAAACAAGGCUUAACAGGGUUUACGAACCUUGCAUUGCGAAGCCGGACACUCACAUUUGUCACACACGAAACCUCUCUCAAUCGUUUUCACUCUAUCUCACUUUAAUCGAGAAUCUCUCCCAAAUCUCUCUAAGUAUGUGAAAUCUCUCCCAAAUCUCUCUUUGUAUGAGAAAUCUCUCCAAGAAUGUGAAAUCUCUCCCAAAUCUCUCUUUGUAUGAGAAAUCUCUCCAAGAAUGUGAAAUCUCUCUAAGUAUGUGAAAUCUCUCCCAAAUCUCUCUUUGUAUGAGAAACCUCUUCAAUAAUGUGAAAUCUCUCCCAAAUCUCUCUAAGUAUGUGAAAUCUCUCCCAAAUCUCUCUCAAAAGUUCCCGUAACUUUUUGAAGUCAUUCGGGUCAUCCCAACCCUUAACCGGGUCAAAAACCGCUUAAAACGGGGUAAGAACGAGUNCUGAACCGAACCCGAACGCUGCUGAACCGAACCCGAAGGGUGCUCUCGGGCCCGAACCUCGCACAAGACCCGAACCCGAGCCUCGGUCCAUUUCGCUCCUGUUGCUUUUGGACCGAACUUGACCUUCGCUUCUUGCUGUUCGCCUCAUUUCGCUUCGGACCCAGCAACAGUAAGGACCGAACCUCCGGCCCAAUCCGAGAAGCCUCGCUGUAAUGCCUUUUUCUUCCUGGUUUUCGACUAGUUUGCGUUUUAAGCCCGAUUUUUAUUGUUUUAACGUGGGAUUUUCACCCAAAACUUUAUUUUAACAUAUAAGGACCCAUAAUUAUUAAUUAAUCACGUUUUUAGAGUAUAAUCCUUAUCCAAGAAGAGUGGGUGGGAUAUUAUUAGUGGAGUGUUGAGUUUGCUUUAAUCUAUGACACAAGCAACCUCCCAUACCCACUCCAUGUCACUAUUCGCCAUCAGCCCAUACCUAGUCACUUCAUUGUACUUUUCCCAUCUUUUUCCAACCACACAAUUGGUCAAAGGCUAGAAAACUCUCCUCUCUCCUCACACUUCUCUCAUUUUCUCAUUCUUCCACCAAAGAUCAAACAUAUUUUCUCUCUCACUUCCUCUCUCUAAAAAUUCGAGAUUCAAGGGCUGAUCUUAGAUUUUUCCUCCAUAUUUGGUAAUUAUCUUCCUCCUACACUUAGAUAUUCUACUAUCCUUCAUCCAAAUCAUAGAUUGCUUAUACAAAUAUCAUCAUAUUUGUUGUUAGCUCCUCAAAUCUUCAAGCAUCUCCCAAGUGUUCUUGAGUUGAAAACUUCUUUUCUCCAUCAUCCAUCUACUGAAAUCACUCAAGGUGAGUUCAUACCCCUACAUUUUCAUGUUUUCUCAAGUUUUUAGGGGGAGGGGGUGGGGAAUACAAGUUAAAACACCAAGAACAUAACUAAACUUUUCUAACAGCCUUCAUCAGAAAAGUUCAACUCCAUUCACGGACUGCUUUGGGCAACUUAAACAUUUUUUUUUCAAAACUGUUUUAGGUGUAAGUAGUUCCAAUUCUUGGCUUUAAAAUUACUACUUGCACAUCUCCGUUCGAUUUUUAUACAAUUUAUGGUGAUUUUUACAAAACUGUCUAUCAUUUCAAACACCAAUCCGGACCAGUCUGUGAUUAUGGACUUUUUCAUCCAAGUUGGAGGUCAUUAAAAAUCAUGAUAAAAAUUAUGAGUAAACUAGAAACAUUUUGGGAACUCUCAGAAUUUACGGAUUUAGUUUUCGACUUCGUAUGAUUUUUCUUUGACUUUUCUAAAACAACGCAGAAAGGUUAAAAACUAGAUAUCAGCUUACAACAUUCAAAACACUUUGUAACAUGUUGAGCAAAGUGUUAAAUCUUUGAUGACUUCAUAUAUUACAUGUAUUUCUUGUAGUGGUAUAAUUAUAAAAUAGGAAAAUACUUAUUGAAUUUAUAAGAAUCCUCUAUCAUAACCAUUAGUACAAAACAAAGCAAGAUAAACAUAGCUAUAUUGUACUAUACAUUUGACUUACAUAGAAAUGGUUCUUAUACACCACAAAUAAACAUACUAAACUAUAAUAAGUAUAGUUAGGUUGCAUAUACAUUUCAAACAUUUUCAUAAACUAUAAUAGGUAUAGUUUAUGAUCAUUUACAUUACAAAAGGUUUUCACAUGAAAAGGGGUACAUUACAAAGUACCGGGUUUUCACAUAAAUGGGGUACAUUACAAAGUAUCGGGUUUUCAUAUAAAUGGGGUACAUUACAAAGUACCGGGUUUUCAUAUAAAUGGGGUACAUUACAAAGUACCGGGUUUUCAUAUAAAUGAGGUACAUUACAAAGUACCGGGUUUUCAUAUAAAUGGGGUACAUUACAAAGUACCGGGUUUUCACAUAAAUAGGGUACAUUACAAAGUACCGGGUUUUCAUAUAAAUGGGGUACAUUACAAAGUACCGGGUUUUCAUAUAAAUGGGGUACAUUACAAAGUACUGAGUUUUCAUAUAAAUGAGGUACAUUACAAAGUACCGGGUUUUCACAUAAAUGGGGUACAUUACAAAUUACCGGGUUUUCAUAUAAAUGGGGUACAUUACAAAGUACCACGUUUUCAUAUACAUGGGGUACGAAUACAAAGUAUUGGGUUUUUAUACAAAAAGGGGUACAGAUACAAAGUACCAGGUUUUUUUAUACAAAAAGGGGUACAGAUACAAAGUACCAGGUUUUUAUACAAAAAGGGGUACAGAUACAAAGUACCAGGUUCACAUAAAAUAUUUAUUAUGAUAUUAAAACUAUAUUUCAUCUAGAAUUGUUAGACUUCAACUAUAAUCGCUGAGCGUAUAUGCUAGAGUCGUAUAAGAAUUUAGUCUCGAUCGGCUUAGAAUUGGUGGGCCCGCCUCAUCUCCUGUUCCUCGUUGGGUUGUGGACUUAGGGCAAACCCACUAUAUUCAAUGUUUUAUCUAACUUAAAUCUUAUAUAACUUAUAUACGCUGGACGAUUAUAGGAGAAAUCUACGGGUCAUUCUAGGGUUCAUUAACACAUCAUAUAGGAAUAUUCUGUGCACACUUAACUAAGAAAAUAUUGGAUUUCUGAAAAUCAAACUCUAUCGAUUUUACAAGGGAAACGGUUUCUUCUUCAAACAAAACUCUUAUGAACUCACCAACUUAAUUGUUGACACUUUUUCAAAACUACUUGUAUUCUCAGGAAAUCAGUGAAACAGGAAAACUUCAGCGCUUUGAGGAUGGGACGUUAAACCGUCAACAAUUUAUUUUUGUCAUCAUAAUGUAAUUGAUUUUGAAACAUAUAAACAUAUACUUUGGUGUAACUUUUUCAAUUAUAUUUAUGAUGGUUGUAUUUACUNUUAUAUUUAUGAUGAUUGUAUUUACUUUGAGCACUAUUAUACACGUUCUUGUGAUACUGUACAUGAAGUCCUCCACCCCCGGACGUUUCCGCCAUCCUUGGUUUGGGGGUGUGACAGAGAAGCAAUACAUGAAUCAAUAGAUACAUAAUACUACAUUUCAUUACAAAGUAUACUAUUCACUUACAAGAACAAGAAGAAACUUACAUACUAUAUGUGAAUAAGUUAACUCGAAUGUGAAAUACUAUUUCAUGGCAUAACAAUAGUCUUGCUAAGUCAUGUUUUGUAACCAGAGUCCCCUGGAGGAAGAGCAUAAGUUUGUGUAUAGAUCUAUACGGGACUGACCAUCCACACCUUGCUGCUAGCUACAGUGUGACUUGCAGGUCUACGGGUGACAAAUGUCAUAUCAUUGUCGACGCCUGAAGAACGUCGUGUUUUAUACUAGUCAAUCAAACAUGGUUAUAACCUUAAUCACAUUAAGACCUUAACUAACCAAUUCGGUUACAAGGCAUAUAUUAUUUAGUAGUGCUACUUUAUAACAAUACUACUGUGAAUCUUCAUUUUCCAUUUCAUACAUAGAAUGAUAAUCUCACAUGAUCAAUGCAUACUAUUUUUCUAGUAAAGAUGGUUUACAAAUAUGGAAAACAUACAUUUAUACUAUUUCAAGUACAAACAUACAGUUAUACUAUUUCAUGUACAAACAUACAUUUUACACUAUUUCAAGAGAACAAAACAUACAAACAGUUGGGUCUUGGGUUUAAGACUACUUUUCAUUUUAAGUAGAAAAUAUAGGAUUUUCUAGGAAGUAUACUAACAUUUACAUGGUACAAAUACAAACACUUUGACACUAAAAACUUAUGAACUCACCAACUUAAAUUUUGAUACUCUCUUUCAAAAUAACUUGUAUUCCCAGGGAACCAGUAGACAGGUACACUGGAUCAGGUUUUGGAGAAGACGGAGCAUGUUCUAACCCAUCUUAUAUUUUUUCUUUACAUUUUUGGUGUCAUACAACUAUACAAAGAACGCACAUGUAUUAAUUAUUUUAUUAAUGCAAUGGAUGUUGUUGCUUGUUUUACUAUUGUUCAUUGUUAUGAUACUAUACAUGACGUCCUCCGCCCCCGAAUGUUUCAGCCAUCUCGGUUUAAGGGUGUGACACCUCCCCCCCCACCCCACACACAUUUUAAGACUUCAUCAUCACAUUCAUUAAAUGCGCCCAUGUCUAUAUUUAAUGACCGUCAAAUCUCCCAAUUUCCUUCAAUUAAAAUAUUUAAAUAGAUAAAAAAAACUCCUCAAUUUAACCACGGUCAAAAUUAAAUUGAAUUGGAAAAAGUUUUCACAUCCAGAGAAAUAAAACCUCAUUUUCCUCUCCAAAAAAGCGUUAUGCUUUCUGGACUCUCGAAGAUCUUCAUCCCUCUCACUCUUGCAAAAAAACUUUUUUCCUGCAAGUUCUUUAAAAUCAUUUUCUAAACACAAUACUAAAAUCUGGCAUCUUAAAGAAACAAACUAAGGGUGUUGGAUCAACAUUAAAUGUGAAACACAUGAACCCAACAAUUAUGUAUAGCAAUUACCAUGGUGUGUUCAAUGAUAGCGACAAAUACGAUGCAUCAAUCAAACUAAUGCUCUGGUUCCAAAAGAAACACAUUCUAUUUGGUCAAUUUGAUGCUUUUACUGAUGUUAUCCUAAUUUCCAUUAUGUUUAAGUGUGUUUUCUCCGCUUACAGACCCGAAGAACAACACGAUCAGGUUAAGUUUCAAUUGACGAAUGAUUCAACUGAAAGUCUCACCAAGAACAAGUUCAUCCCUGCAAUCAAUCUGAGACAACUUGCAAUCAUUGAGUUUAAACCCCCCUCUAACGACAAAGUUUUUAGGGUUCUUUAUAGGAUGGGUUACUAAUCCAAUCUCAAAGGGUUUGCAGAUUUUAGGAAGGGAAAGUUACCAGUUGUAGGGAAAUACUUUUGUCGCUACAUCAUCUGAUGUCUAUCAUCAAGAAUACGAGAAACUGAUCAGAUGAGCAAACCAUUUUUCGAUAUCCUUUGGAGCAUCUUCAUCGGUGAACCAGUCGAUUUUGGAAUAGUUCUUUGGGAAGACUUCAUCUAGUACAUUAGGAAGAAAACUCCUCGUAAAGGCAUCACCGAAGUUACUUCUGUGUUGUUCUAGUCCUUGAGCAUCCGUAAUCUAUACAACAAGGCAUGUGUUAGCGUUAGCAAUGACACCAACCUUUUUGCAACACAUGAUCUCAAAAGGUACUCUCUUCCUCAAGAUCAAUCUAGUUUUGGACCCAUUAGACAACUUCCCAAUUUUAUCUUAUCCGAAAUCGGCUUGUUUGACAAUGAGGUCACUGACCAUAUUGAGGCUACAAAUGAUGUAGAACCAUAUCGUUCUUAAAGCCUAUCACUAAGACCACGUCCAAACAGAAGAAAACUGAUAGAUUCCAUUUUAUGCAUCUCUUAGGGUAGUUUUUAUUAUCAUUUAGCAUCAUAUUUUGUACAGUUGCAUGUUAUUUGUUUAAAAUAUUCAGCUCGUGUCUUUUAUCAGAAUUUCCAUACUGCUAGCAUUUUUAAGGUCAAUUUCAGAUAGUUCGAGUGAAGCGGUACUUUGGGAGUAGCUGGAUUUGGAGCUUAAAUGGAGCUGUAACUAACGAAUGAUGCUAAGGAAUAACAAGGAGUGCUUACACUGAAGAAUCACGUCCGAAAUGAGCUAGAAACCUAGAUAUUCAAUCACAUGUUUUCCAUGAAGUUUCCCGGGGUCGAAAUAAGUCAUCUAUAUGCGAUCGCAUAAAGCAUUUAUGCGAUCACAUUUUCUUCCCGCAAAUCCAGAAACUUCAAAUUUGGCUUCGUACUUCAUUCAGAUGUAAUCCUAGAAAAUAUUCAAAAACCUGCGAUUGCAUAUAGCUAGCUUACGAUCACAUGUUUGUCCAAAAGCACUAAAAAAGCAAUGUACAUCAUUAAAUCAGCCCAAUACACGUUUUUAUGAAAAUAUAUGAUCGGAUAUAACCAACCUGCGAUCGCAUUUUUAGUUUCUUUCUCCAAAAGUUUAUGUAUCACAUAUAAAUACGACCCUCACUAUCAAAUCCGAGAGUUGGACGAUUCUAGACGACAUAAUACCCUUCUAAAGACGAUUUUUGAUACCUUUUAGCGAAUUUUGGAGAUCUGUAGAUUGCGAAUCAUCUCAUUCGUUUAGUUUAUCUAGAUUUAUUAGUAAAUGUUUCUUUCUACUAUUUUAGUUUCGUUUUUAUCCAUGGAUGGCUAAAACAUAGUUUUCAAUUCUACAUGAACUAGUACUUUUCAUGUGGUUAGUUUUCAGAUCUAGUUUUCUUUUUGUGUUUCUAUAUAGAUUUUCCGUUUUGAGCUUAAUGAAUGUUUAUUUUUAAUUUUUGUUAGUCUGAUCACCUAGCUAGGGUUUUAUCAUUCCAGUUAAUCAGUUAAUAAAAUCCGUAAUUGUUAUUGUCAACUGGUAAUAAGUAACAAGUAUUAGAUUAGUUUAAUUUAAAAAUCCCACUUUUAUAUGUUCUGUUUCUUGACUAGAUUGUGUCUGAUGCAAAAAGGAAUUGACUGUUAGGCUAUAUCCCUGAGGAUUCAACCUUGCUUCCCUGUGCUAUAUUUUUAGUGCAACCAACAACGAAAUAAAUAAUACACUUGCGACAAAUUGUUAACAAAAACCAUUGUGAAGAAAAACCCACCCCAUUGAAAUUAGCGAAGAAGAAAACUAUCGAGGAAGUAAGUGACUCUGAGUCACAAAAUGUUUUUAGGAAAAGAAAGUUGAAGAUCCCAACCUACUCAGCCAAAAAGUGAGCCAAAAUAAACACUAAAGUCUCUCAAAAGACUUUGUAGGUCAAUAGAUCUAAAGUUGGAUCACAUGAACACACCAUAUACAUCCACUCAGUUGCAAAAGGUGCAUUUGUUUCAUCUGAAAGUGGAUAAAUAGCCCAAUCGGGAUUUUAAAGGAAUCCUAGUGUUAGAAAAUCUCCUAAGGUCUCCAGGAGAAGAUAUAGGUACUACUUUACUAAUGAGGACCUUUCCUUCAUUUUCGUUCAUGCACACAUACACUGCAAACAUAUAAUACACCACAUGGACCUUUUUCAGAGACCCAUGCCAAAACAGGAUCAAGGCCAAACUUGAGUUUAGCCGAAGGAGACCAAGGAAGUCCUAGAAAUCCUAUACCACCAACAUUAAACACAAGCGGAUUAGGCACGAGGAGCACAAAUGUGUAAGGAUCCAUGAACCCGGGGGAAACCCUGGUGGUUAUUGAUUUUUUUUGUGUUUUGGAUAACAAUUGGAUGAAUUAUGUACCUCCAAUUAAAGAAGUAAGGAUCAAGUUUGAGAAAUUCAAGCAAGCCAUAAGGGAAAGAAAACCAAGAUCCCUCUCAAGUCAACAAAGGAGAAAUUGCCAAUGUUUGACCAAAGUGUGGCUGAGCAUCUUGCAACUUCUCUUACCAACAUGUAGAUAACUUACAACAACCAAAAGACUCAAGAAUGAGUAGAUAUCAUGAUGGGAACAAUGUGUAGAGCAUUUGAUGGUACGAGAGCUCAAGUUGAGGGAGCCAAUGAAAAUGAUGAACCAGAGAAGGAAGUAAAUAAUGAAGGGUCCAAUUACUGUGAUUCAAAUAGGAAAUGAGAAAACAUGUGGCUUUGAUCUCAGUGAGGAUGAAGUUCAAAAGAAAGAUAACGAAGACUUUCACAUGUUUUUGUUUGAUGAAGAAUCAAGUGCUUUGCAUCACUCUGUCACCAAGGCCAAGUCUAAGAAGAAGAAGAAGGUUGUGGUAUCAAGCAAAGAAUUCCUUGAAUUUUCUAAAAAAGUAGACCAUAUUCUCAGUGCAUUCAUAAAUCUAUAACCUCCUCAACUACAAGUUAUGAUUCCUCCUAACAUAGACUCUCUUGCACAAAGAGUCACAAAAAUUGAAGAAAGGGAGAGGAUAUUGGAUCAAAGAAUACUACUGUGAAUUGAAUUAGGUAUUCAAGCACUGGAUGAGUUAAGUAAGAAAGAUUAAAUUAAGUUCAUUGAAGUAAGAUUAAAUUGAGUUCAUUCAGAAAGAAGAAGAGUUAACGAAGGAGAUCGAAUAGUUCAAAGAAAAGUUAAUGACGAACUCUCAAGCAUUUGAGACGAAGAUGCGAGAUCUACUUGAUGAGAUCCAAACGGCUUAUGACAUGGGAUACAUAGAACUCCAAACUACCAUCAAGGAUCUACAAAAAAGUAACCUUGUUAAGUUGCAAGUACUCUCAAAUGUGGUGGUUGAGUCAAUAAAACUAAUGAAUGAUCCUAAGGAAAUUCACAAAGAAAUCCUACAAAUUUCCAAAGACAUUCUCGAGCAUCUCAGAAAUCCUCUCAUCCUGACUAAACACGAUGUAAAUAUGAAGACUCAAAUUAGCUUCGCAAGAGUGUUUGAACUCCUAAAGGAGUUAAAAAAAUAGCAAGUUUAAGGAGAGGACAAGGCCUUCAUCCUCAAUAGGGGGAAAGUUUAUAGAAUGUGGGUUCCCAUUUUAUCGAUUGGAUCGGUGUGGAAGAUAUUACCAAGAAGAUAAUCGAGUAUGAACAUGAAGAACAUAAUAUGUGAGUAAAAUUGUAGUAGAUAAAUAGAGUGAUAUAAAAUAUUACAAGAACACUCAUGGGUUGAGAGAGAUAACUCUCCCAUGGUGGGAGAGAUCCCACCACACUCUCUCUAAACUACAAUGUCUACAUAGUGAACACUAAUAAUAAAAAUGACCAUCACCUCCACUUUAUAUACUAGUGGAGGGAAUAUGCUUUUCAUACAAAGGAAUAUUCUAUCCUAAUAAACACUCAACAUUGUAGAGCAUUUUCAUGCUCCAACAAUCUCCCCCUAAAUGCUCAGAAGUGGUGAAGGUAAAGUAGUGAUAAAAGGCAGAACGUCCGACAGGCAGGUCUGGUGGGUCUGGUGCUGAAGCGUCUCGGAAGUGUUGAAGCUGUCGUGAUCUCGGAAUCUGACAAUGGAAUCUCUAGCAUCAAAGAACCAACAGAGAAACCACAAUCUCUGAAUAAAAGUAUGAAAUCCAAAUCUUCGAAUGUGAUUAGUCCCCAACAACUAAUCAUGUUCAUAGUCUCCCCCUCGACUGUUGAACCGAAGAGCACAAUGUCGAUUCACACAACAUCUUCAAUAUCCCGAAUUCAAGUGAUAAUGCACCAAAUAAUCUCUGAAGAAUAACCUGCUGAAAAUGUGAAGCACCUAAAAAUAAAGUCUGAAUGAUAAAUAAUAUGAAUCCGAAAAUGGUCUAGCAAUGCCAAAAAUUUGAUCUGAAGAUAAAAAAUAAGUGUCACGCCGCAUCGCUAAAAUAAUCAUCGUCUUCAAAAUAUCGCAAACCCAAACUCGAGCAAUCAUACGAUCUGAACCGGAUGCAAACACAAAUGAGACAUCCCAAAGUGUAGAGUCUGAAGAUAAAUAAUCCUAAUCCGAAGAACAUCAAGUAAUGCCAAAAAUUCGAUCUGUAAAGAUUAAAAAUUAGUGCCACAUCACACUACUAAAUCAUUCUCCGUCUUCAAAUGUCUCUAACAUCAAAACUCCAAUAAAUCAAAAUGGAUGCUCAUGAUUCUCUCUCUAUUUUUGAUCGACCAUGCAAUAAAGAGAAAAAAUAAUCAUGAAAUCGGGCAAGAGAAUAUGUCGGAUAUGAUGGAGCAUUGCACGCUCCCCCUUGAUGUGAGCAUCUACCCAUAAAACGAGGAUAUUAUUUUUUGGUCAUGGGUAGACUUGGUGAUGUAUUGCUGAACUGAACAAACACUGUAGAAUAUGUAUGAUAAACCCACUGCUGAAGAAUCAUAAUGCUAAACCGAAAUGAUGCCGGAAACCGAAAUGCAAACCCGAACUCCCAAGUAAUGGUCUGAGACCAUAUAUAAAUAGUCCGAAGGGAGUAAAAAAUGUGAAUCUCGGAAGGAUCAAUCUCUGAAGCACAUAAAUAUGAGGUAGAAAAUGCGAGUUGCUCAGUAGAUGUGAGACACAAAAAUAAUAAUCUCUGAACAAACUGUAUCGUCACUCAUAAUUAGCAAAAAGAAUGAUGCCUUGAACCAUGGGGCUAAAAUUAGUGUUAAAAAAAUAAUUGAUUUUAAUAAAAAUAAUUGGUUUUAAUAAAAAAAAAGUUGGUAUUAAAAAAUGGGUGUUAAAUAAAAUUAAUUGGAUUUAAACAAAAUGAAUGAAUAAAUUGGUUAUAAAAAAAACAUAAAAAAAAACAAAGUGGGUUUUAUAGGAAUAAGAUAUGAAUUUUGGUUUGUGAAUCCAAAUUCAAAAGAUAUGGAUUAUUUGGAUCCAUAUAUAAUUCCGAAAAAGAAAUAAACGUAAUUAAAAAUGGAUAAAGAAAAAGGGCUGAAUGGGUUUUAAAAAAAAUAAAAUUAAUAAAAAAAAGGAAGAGAUCCGGAAUAAUAAAAAAGCUAAGAAGUGAGUUAGAAGGUGGAUCCAUUAUGAAAAUGGAAUCACAUAGAGAAAUUGGUUAAGUUGAAAUAAGUUAGGAGUGGAGAGUCCGGACUAAAAAUAAGAGGUAAGGUCUAAAAUGUAAGGGUGGACUCCAAAAUGGGUGCAAAGUGGAAAUAAGGACUAAAUGGUUUGGAAGAAAAGGUCCAGAAUGGAUUUUAAAAUAAAAGGGCGCGAAAUGAAAAAGGUUUGAAGUGCAUUGGGUCUUGGAAUUUUUGAGACCGGAAUGAAUAUAAAAAGGUUCUACGUCCGAAAAAGUGAAAGUGGUUCCGGAAGGCGGGUCCAUAGAGAGUCCGGAACAAUGGAGUCUCGAAAUAAAUGGCAGAUGUGACAGUAGAUGUAACAUACACGUUCUGUUAUCCUGUUAUGUAAUUAUUAAAUGUGAAUAAUAUUGAGUGUUGAGUUCUAACAGAUAGUUUUUACUAGAAAUGAAGUAAAACUAUGUUUAGAAUCACUCGGAAAAUAUUGAAAAUCUUAUGGAAUUCCAAUUAAAAGCCAAAUAGUGAAAUUUUAGCGAAAAUAUAAAAUUUAAAAUAAGUAAAAUUUUAUUAUUUAAUGUUGUAGAGAAUCUCGUUAAAAACAUUUAGGCGAAAACCUCGUCGAAAUCCAAGUUAUAACGAAGAGGUUAUGACCAAUCGAAGAUCCAUGACAAAACCGACAAACACUAUUUCGCGUAAAAAGUGAGUUUUCGAUAAAACUACUUUUUAGCCUUAGUGAUCUAAAUGAAAGUUGUAGAACUCGUGAAAUUAAUGAACUUUCAUAUAAAGAACUUUUGAAUCUGACUUCGUAUGAGUAAGUUAUGAUUUUUCUAAGUUUCAGAAUAGCGGUAGACAGCAAAAAACUCGAAAUAAAGAUCGAGUGACAUUUAGCCAAAACAACCUAAACGAGAUUCGAAGGUCUCUUCAAUAGUAGUACAAUGGUAAAAAGACAGACGAAAAUGGAUGUCAGAUGAAGAAGUUAUGAUUUUUAACGGAUUUACCAGUCCCGGUCUGUUAAAAAUAAUAAUAUUAAACAUAAAGUCAAAAUUAGAUGAUAACGAAAGAUGUAGAAUAUAUUCCUGCCUACGCGUGCAUAUAAAGAACGUCAAAAACGGAGUUCGUAUGCGAAAGUUAUGAAUUUCGCAAGAUUUUUGGCUAAAAAACCGAGAAAUUAUGGAUAAGACCCAGGGAAUCUCGCAUGAAAAGUAGCCGCUCUACCCAGGUCCAACUUGUGCAGCCUUCCGAUUGGACCGAACCGCAGACCAGUGUGCGUCCGACGCGCCUCACACAGGUGUCCGAAGCUCGCUCCUCCACUGCCUCCUUGCGUCCGAGCUCCGCAUGCGCGCCGCGUGUUUCGCUCCUGCUGCCGCGUGGCCUUCGCUGAUGCUGACGCCUGGCUCCUUCUCAGCCAACCUUCGCACCCUCGCCCAAUAAAUACAAGGCUUGCCGGGUAAAAUUGGAUUUUUGUCAUUUUUAACCCCAAAAUCAAUAUUUUUACUUUUUUAACCCCCGAUUAUUUCAAGGUGAGUUCAAUAUAUAUGAACAAUUGUAUGUUAUGUGUUAUAUGUGCUAUGUGCUUUUUCCGUGUUGUUAUCUCGUGUUGUUAUUUCAUGCUAUAUUUGUAGCAAAGUUAUACCUUUGACCAUGUGAUCAGUGAAAGGAUCUAGAUUCACGGUGGUACUGGUAUGUAGCCUCUGGCUAUGUAGAACAUGUCUCGUAAGAGAAUGACUUCUAUUCUAUGGCAUUGGUAGAAGGUUAGAUAGGACUAAUAUGUAGCCUCUGACCAUGUAGAGCAUGACUCCAUAAGAGAAUGACCUCUAUUCUAUGGUAUUGGCAAAUGGUUAGAUAGGGUUAUAAGCCUGAAAUCUACCAAAAUGUUAAUCAGAAAUUGUAUGUCUUCUGUGCCAUUUGGGCCAAAGCUUUAUUGAUGCAUAUCAAGUAUUGAAAUCGUUAUGUCUCAUUGAUCAUAAAUCUUUGAAUCAAAUCUUGAGUUGAUAUUGAAAGCCUGACAUAUGAUACGCAUAUGCUAUUGUUGUUCUUGUUCCUCUUUGCUUCUGUCAUAAUGGUAUAUAUACGGCAUAAGAUUAUAUUGUAUCUAUUUAUUGAAUUCACUAAGCGUUAUCGCUUAUCCCUCUCAAUGUUUAACAAAUGCAGGUGAUAAUCAUCCAGUAUAGUCUUAUACUGUGAUUGGAAGAUUUAGAAUAGUUAAUACUAUUUAUUUGUAUUUAAUAUUCAUGUAUGUAUACAAAUAACAGAUUCCUAGGUAGUUAUGUAAAAUAAUAAACUUGUAAUAGUUGAUUUGUAUCCAAUCGUUUGUAAUCACUUUAUCAAUAUAAAAUAUUGUUUUUAUGAAUAUGCAAGUAUCAUGUUUUGGAGUAACUAUAUUGUCAAGUAUGAAAGUUUGGGUCUUUGAGAAAUACGAAAGUGAGGGUCUUUCAACCAUGGUAUGAGAGCAAUAGUUUAAGUGAACUAAAUAUCACGGAUUGGUAUUUAUACUUAAACUGUUGGAAGUUCAAUAUAUGAACGGAUUCAUAGUACAUAUAUGGAUAUAAACCAUAGGAAAUACUUAAGUGGGUUAUUGGGUAGUGAUAAACUUUAGUAUUCUAAGAUAUUAAGUUACUUCAGAAUUUUCACAAAAUUAGUUUAAGUCAACUAGGAAUUUUGAGAAUUUCUAGACUUAAAUAUGAAUUGUUAAGUGAAGAUGAUGCGAUAUUUAUCUGGUAUAUUUUAGGUCGAAUACCUAAAUGGAGUCGAGCACUAGAAUAUUAAGAAGAGAUAUGCCUUAUAUUCUAAUAUGUGCUUAAAAAAAUAAUGAAUAUAUCAUGCCUUAGAGUGCUUUUCUAUAAUUGCUAUUAUUUGAGAAAGUUUAAUGUAUGUUGCUGACCUUGGUUUAGAAGAGAAGAUUUUUAAGAAGUUCUGUAUUAGAAUUUAAGUGAAACUUUUCGAAGUGAUAAAGAGACUUAUGAUAGUCGACAUUGAUAAGUUUGUUGAUAAACGAUCGAAAGAUAUCGUAGAAUCAUAUUUAUGAAGUGUUAUCAUAAAUAGUGUAUUAAUACCUAUAGAGUGGUAUUGUACCUUCAAAGUAUAUUUGAUGAUAUAAUAACAUCUUUGGAAGAAUAUUGUGCGUUUGAAACACAUUUGGGCAAGAUAAAUGUGUUGGUGCAAUGCAUAAAGUUGUUCCACCGUUGUCCAGAAUGAAGCAAUGAUUGAUUAAUAGAGUUGGAAGAACUGAAGAUAGUGGUCAAUAUUUCGGCAGUAUCACAAUUAAUGUUGUGCAAGAUUUAGAAGAAUUGAAUGAAGAUCAAAGGAAAGGCUAAUGAAGUUUUCAGACUCAAUAGGCCAAGAUUUUGUCUAGACUAUGUGAUGUAGUAUGUAGUUCAAAUAGUAAUCCUAUACAGAAUGUUUAAACUUAGUAUUUAAUAAUACUGAGUGAUGAUUGACUUCUAUCACAUCCUUAUGGAAGUUCCAUUGUGUGUUAAGCCAACUUUAACAUACAAGAUUAGGAUGGUGAAUUGAUUCAUUUAGUGGUAAAAGGUGAAGUAACUUACUUGUCUAAGUAAGGUAGAAUGCUUAAUUGAAGAAGCAAUACACCCAUAGUAUCGUAUGAGAAGAGAUGUUGUAGUCAGGAAUAACAGAGAACCAAGUUGAGACUAGUAAAAUAUGUUGAGAUGCAUCUAUAAUGCAGAAUUCCUAUGAUAUACUCCUAUGAAGUAGAUUUAAAAGAUACACUCAUGAGAAGAAGAAUUACUCAUAUGUAAGAAUGACGAUAUCAUGGAAGGAUAACGAAAUGAACAAAUGUGCAUGGUCACUUACAUGAGUUAAGAGAUGAUGCAGGUAGUUAGAAACCGUUUGUCUUCACACUGCAAGAGUAAAUUUUGGUAUUGCAUGUCUAGUAGAGUAGACACUACCCGAGAAAGAAAUUAUAUGAAGAUCUGGAAGUAAAAUCCGUAUUAAUCUAGAAAAAGUAUUAGAAUAUACUAGAUUGAGCAUAUGCAUGAGUAGAAUCCUAGAAGGAGAAUACAGGAAAUCCAAGAUAUGUUUGAUAGAACCGUGAAAUCCUUAAUUGAGUCUAAAAGAAAUUGUUGUGCGUACUUGUUUGAACAUAUUCAUGUGUGAUAAAUUGCUUUGUGAUUUUGAAUAGUAACUUGGAAAACUACGAGAUAAUACUUGGGAUAAGUAUGAGUAGAUGUGAAUGGUAGUAGAGGCCUAUACUACCGGAAGCGUAGGACUCACACUUGGAUCAGGGAAAGUCACAAGGUUACCAAGAAACUAGUAAUUGAUUUCAUUUUAUUCAAGUAUGUUGUUACUAUUAUUUCGAUAAUAACUUAGAAGAAGAUUGUUUUUCUGACCUUAGUGGUCAUAUCAAACUGAGUCCGAAAAAUACAAAUAUGUUACAUGGUAAAGAGAACGAAGAUCGAUGUAACAUUCGACUUAAUCCAGGAAAUUAAAAUGAAAGAUAAUCAAUGCGAUCAAUAGAAGUAUCGUGAUCACCUAAUAGUAAAGAAUUUUGUAGUAAGAAGUGCUACAUGCUAGAAUGUGAUUAUAUUGCAUUAGAACAUGAAGAAAGGUUACUUACAUAAUAUUAUUUUACAAUUAGAGACGAGAGUUUGGUUCGUUGUGUGUAUCUCGCGUUAUGCAAUUGAAAGUCAUUGGAAUAUGACCAUUCGAAUUAUUGUUAUAAUAAAAGUAAAGAUUUUACCUUGGGUUUAGUAUAUAAACCAAGGAGCAGAAGUCUGCAAUGAGAAUUGAGUUUUAACUCAAAGAUUAGAAUUAAAGGUUCAAUAGAGAAUGAAGAGCGGGUGCAAGUUUGAGCACCUCUAGUAAUUAAGAAGUUUGAAAAGUUUAAUAAUAAUUUGGUAAAUCAAAAGUUAAAAAUAGUACAUUUUAGAUUACCACAAAGGAAACACGUUAGUACCCGAAUAUUAUGACUGAUACAAUUCUCAUCAACCCUUAACCUACUCAUGUCUUAUUUGAUUUCGAUGUCUCAGAUUCUUUUGUGCCAUGUAAAUUCGCACAUUCUUUUCAAAUUUCUUGUUACGCAUUUGUCCAAUUAUUUCAUGUAUAUACCGUAGGAAGGACAUCAGUACUUGCUGAUAAAAUCUAUAGAGAUAGUGUCGUAGGAAUUGAAGGUUAUAAUCUUCUUGCUAACCUGAUUCCUAUCUUCCUGCCCAACUUUUAUAUUAUUAUCGACAUAGAUUGGUUGUCAAAGAACUAUGCAGAACUCUUGUGCUACGAAGAGAUGAUAUGCAUCCCUAUCGAAAGGGAGGAUUCUAUUUAUGUCUACGGUGAAAAUAAUAAACUCUUUCUUAAAAACUCGUAAAUUUAUAUCGAAGGGAUAUUCUACUUAUCCGGCUUAUACAGUUAAUACCUUGAAAGAGGAGAAGAAAACUGUGAAUGAUAGCAUUUGGAUAAUUAUCGACCGGCUGAUUAAGAGUGCAUAUAUUCUCGCCAUACAUGAAACGCCUCCAUUGGAGAAAUACGCAUAAGUAUACUUGGACGAAAUUGUGGAAAGACAUGGUGUGCCACUAAAGAUUAUUUUCGAUCGUGAUACUCGCUUCACUUUUGGGCAAGUAUGCAACGAGAAUUGGAAUCUCAAGUUAUUCUCAGUACAACUUAUCAUCCCCAGAAAGAUGGUAAGACGGAGAGAACAAUCCAAAUUGUAGAAAAUAUGUUUUGUGCAUGUGUUUUGGAGUUCGGUGGUAACUGGGACAAGUAUUUUCUCUUGUCAAAUUUUCGUAUAAUAAAAGUUACUACACUACAAUCAAAAUGCCGCCAUACGAAGCAUUAUAUGGGCACAAAAUACCGCACUCCAUUAUGUUGGUGGUCCUGAAAUGAUUCAAGACACCACUGAUAAGAUUCAAAUGGUAUGAGAAAGAAUGAAAGCAGCCCAAGAUCGACAAAAGUCAUGUACAGAAAUGAAGGAGACGAUUCAUAGAAUUCAAAGUGGGUGAUACUGAAGGUAACCCUGUGGAAAGAUAUUAUGAAAUUUUGGAAGAAAAGGAGAUUGAGUCCUAGAUUUGUUGGACUUUUGAAAAUUAUCUAGAGAAUUGGUCAACAAGCAUAUCGAUUGGAAUUGCCUAAAGAUUUGGCAGAUAUAAAUGAUAAAUUUCAUGUAAGAUAUCUAUGUAAAUGUUGAAGCGUAUAUGAUGAAACUAUUCCAUUAUCCGAGGUGAAACUGGAUAAUAAGUUAAGAUAUGUAGAAGAGAUCGUAAAUGAAAGAACGACUAAUCUACGUAAUAAAGAAGUGAAGUUAGUGUUUGUAAAGUGGAAACACCAUCGAGACCUAAGUUAUACUUUGGAAAAUAAGAAUGAGAUAAGAGCGAAAUGUAUCCCCAUUUGUUUUAAUCGUUAAUGAUUUCGGGGACGAAAUCCUCAAAAUGAUGAGGUAUUUAUAACACACAUGUUUGGUUAUCGUGUUAUGUAAUUAUUAAAUGUAAAUAAUAUUGAAUGUUGAGUUCUAACAGAUAGUUUUUACUAGAAAUGAAGUAAAACUAUGUUUAGAAUCACUUGGAAAAUAUUGGAAAUCUUAUAGGAUUCCAAAUAGUGAAAUUUUAGCGAAAAUAUAAAUUUUGAAAUAAGUACAAUUUUAUUAUUUAAUGUUGUAGAGAAUCUCGUUAGAAACAUUUAGGCGAAACCUCGUCGAAAUCCGAGUUAUAACGAAGAAGUUAUAACCAAUCGAAGAUCCGUGAAAAAACUGACGAACACUAUUUCGCGUAAAAAGUGAGUUUUCGAUAAAUUACUUUUUAGCCUUAGUGAUCUAAAUGAAAGUUGUAGAACUCGUGAAAUUAAUGAAUUUUUAUAUAAAGAACUUUUGAAUCUGACUUCGUAUGAGUAAUUUAUGAUUUUUCUAAGUUUCGGAAUAGCGGUAGACAGCGAAAAACUCGAAAUAAAGAUCAAGCGAUAUUUAGCCGAAACAACCUAAACGAGAAUUGAAGGUCUCGUCAAUAGUAGUACAACAGUAAAAAGACAGACAAAAACGGAUGUCAGAUAAAGAAGUUAUGAUUUUUUAACGGAUUUAUCAGUCCCGGUCUGUUAAAAAUAAUAAUAUUAAAAAUAAAGUCAAAAUUAGCUGAUAAAGUGUAAACGAAAGAUGUAGAUUAUAUUCCCGCCUACGCUUGCAUAUAAAGAACGUCAAAAACGGAGUUCGUAUGCGAAAGUUAUGAAUUUCGCAAGAUUUUUGGCUAAAAAACCGAGAAAUUAUGGAUAAGACCCGGGGAAUCUCGUAGGAAAAGUAGUCGCUCUACUCGGGUCCGACACGUGCAGCCUUCCGAUUGGAUCGAACCGCGAACCAGUGUGCGUCCGACGCGCCUCACACAGGUGUCCGAAGCUCGCUCCUCCACCGCCUCCUUACGUCCGAGCUCCGCAUGCGCGCUGUGUGUUUCGCUCCUGCUGCCAUGUGGCCUUCGCUGCUGCUGACGCCUGGCUCCUUCUCAGCCGACCUUCGCACCCUCGCCCAAUAAAUACAAGGCUUGCCGGGUAAAAUUGGAUUUUUGUCAUUUUUUACCCCAAAAUCAAUAUUUUUACUUUUUUAACCCCCGAUUAUUUCAAGGUGAGUUCAAUAUAUAUGAACAAUUGUAUGUUAUGUGUUAUAUGUGCUAUGUGCUUUUUCCAUGUUGUUAUCUCGUGUUGUUAUUUCAUGCUAUAUUUGUAGCAAAGUUAUACCUUUGACCAUGUGAUCAGUGAAAGGAUCUAGAUUCACGGUGGUACUGGUAUGUAGCCUCUGGCUAUGUAGAACAUGUCUCGUAAGAGAAUGACUUCUAUUUUAUGGCAUUGGUAGAAGGUUAGAUAGGACUGGUAUGUAGCCUCUGACCAUGUAGAGCAUGACUCCAUAAGAGAAUGACCUCUAUUCUAUGGUAUUGGCAAAUGGUUAGAUAGGGUUAUAAGCCUGAAAUCUACCAAAAUGUUAAUCAGAAAUUAUAUGUCUUCUGUGCCAUUUGGGCCAAAGCUUUAUUGAUGCAUAUCAAGUAUUGAAAUCGUUAUGUCUCAUUGAUCAUAAAUCUUUGAAUCAAAUCUUGAGUUGAUAUUGAAAGCCUGACAUAUGAUACGCAUAUGCUAUUGUUGUUCUUGUUCCUCUUUGCUUCUGUCAUAAUGGUAUAUAUACGGCAUAAGAUUAUAUUGUAUCUAUUUAUUGAAUUCACUAAGCGUUAUCGCUUAUCCCUCUCAAUGUUUAACAAAUGCAGGUGAUAAUCAUCCAGUAUAGUCUUAUACUGUGAUAGGAAGAUUUAGAAUAGUUAAUACUAUUUCUUUGUAUUUAAUAUUCAUGUAUGUAUACAAAUAACAGAUUCCUAGGUAGUUAUGUAAAAUAAUAAACUUGUAAUAGUUGAUUUGUAUCCAAUCAUUUGUAAUCACUUUAUCAAUGUAAAAUAUUGUUUUUAUGAAUAUGCAAGUAGCAUGUUUUGGAGUAAGUUUAAUGUCAAAUAUGAAAGUUUGGGUCUUUCAGAAAUACAAAAAUAGGGUCUUUGAGGAGAGUUGAAGCAUAGAAAAGUGAAUGGUACAGAUACAUUAAAUGAGUCUCAUAAUUGACCUUGAGAUGAUGUAGAAAAUUGUCGAGUGGUAGUAAGUGAUGGGAUCGAUCUAUAAUGUAAAAUGGAGUGGCAUGUGCCUUUAAUGCAUAUGACACCCUACUAGCUAACGUGUCGCUUGUAGAUUUGAGUGUGUGAGAUACUCACUGAAGGAGUGAGUGAGCUUGAGACCAGUGUGUGUUCCAAUAAAAGAUGUUGUCUCCCAUGUACACACGUUACAUAUUUCAGCUUUAAAGAGAGAAUCAAUCAAUGCGGCUCAUUACUGUUGACGUGUCACAAGGUGAAUGGUGCGUGAUCUUCAAGUGCCGAAGCUGUGAUUAUUCUUGAGGUUGGCACGUGAUGGUGGCAGUCUCCAAAUGCAAAUAACAUUUAUAUUUUUUUGACUUUAGAUUAUCCCCUGCUGUGCACAUAAAUCAAAACAACCUUGAAUGGCUAUCUUGUCUGGUCCAUACCAUACACUCGACAUUUCCCAUAUAUUCUUCCCAAAAUCAAUUUCAUCUUCGGAAAGUAUCUUCAUAACUCUUUUUCAUCUCGAAAAAUACAUGCUUCUAAGCAUUGUAUCACAGCUAAAAUAACUUGUACAUUCCAAAAUAAAUAUUCAAACACUUCUAAAAAUCACAUAUUUCGAACUCAAUACCAUAUGUUCAAUCUCUUACCCCGUAACCAUAUUUUUGUCUUUUUCUAAACACCUUUUUGCAUGAGAUAAAAAGAUCAAACACCAUCUUUUUAAAGAGAACUUCAUCUUCUUCAGCAAAAUAUAAAUAUCUUCAUGAACUCAAAUUCAACAAUAGCAAAAUGUAAUGAACAGUAGCAACAAAUUUUUUUUAGCAACAUCACCUGCAAAACAGUAAAUAACUCACAGUAUGACGAAAAUCUUCAAGAUAAUAAACCAAUCGAGAUCGUUCCCUUGAAAUAAUCGUGAGCCUCAAGGUCUCGCUGUGAUACCACUUGUCGAUUCCCAUUUUAUCGAUUAGAUCGGUGCGGAAGAUAUUACCAAGAAGAUAAUCGAACAUGAAGAAGAUAAUUUGUGAGUAAAACUGUAGUAGAUAAAUAGAGAGAUAUAAGUAUUACAAGAACACUCAUGGAUUGAGAGAGAUAACUCUCCCAUGGUAGGAGAGAUCCCACCACACUCUCUCUAAACUACAAAGUCUACAUAGUGAACACUAAUAAUAAAAUGACCAUCACCUCCACUUUAUAUACUAGUGGAGGGAAUAUGCUUUUCAUACAAGGGAAUAUUCUAACCUAAUAAACACUCAACAUAUUGGAUCAUUUUCAUGCUCCAACAUAGAAGAUGAAGAUGUUUGCAUGGAAACUCCACAAACUAAUUCUCCUAUAUAGAAAUCUCCAUCUAGUUCUAAUUUCAAAUCAAAAUCCAAAUUAGACUCUUCAACCAAUAAGAUUUUUGAAGAUAAAGAAGAGAUUUCUACAGAAGAAACCCCCAAUCUCCUCUAAAAGAAGAACUCCAACUCCUCCCCAAUCCUCUCCAAAAAUAAGAACUCCAAUGUCUCCCAAAGUAUCCACCAAAAUCCUCUCCUCCAAAGGAAGUCACUCUCGAGCCAUCCAUGUCCGAGAAUCACAUGAAUGACUUUGUUUCUACAAAAUAAAAGAAGAUUGACUGGAAAGAUACAAGUUAAUCCAAGACAUCUAGAUAACCAAGGAUUUGACAUACAAAUGGAUGAAGCCCUAAUUCAGUAAUUGGUAAAUCCUAUAUGUGGACUGAUUAAUGAAGACUAUGCUCCUCAUCAAACCUUCGCAAAGCCACAAUAUGACAUGUAUUGGGAUAUAAGUUUAUCCCUACAUGUCUAAUUCUUCCAAGUGUUCGAAGAGUUCGAUCUCACGCUUCCCGACUCCCAAAGACUUCCAAUGGAGUUUGAAAGACUCCACCAAUUCCACAACAAGCACAAUAAGAAUAUCAAGGACAUUUGCUAAAACGUUAGACUGGAGCAUGUCAAAACUUACAAGAAAAGAUCCUUAAAAAAUUUCAAGUAUUAUCCAUAUGAUCUCAUUUGCAAAGGCAUUGUACAACAAAACUCAAGAUGAUUUCAUUCACAUGAAUCCUGAAGAGUUGUCCUCAUCACAAGGAUCUUCAGUCUAAAGAUUUGGAAUUAUCACAACUUCAAGCAUGCAUAUAUCAAAGUGUGUAAUUACUUGAGGCCUUUGAUCUGCGACUUUGAAUCUAUUAACGCAAAACUAUUUGAUUCUCAUUAAUCACUUUGAUCUUCCACCAUUUGAAGUAGCCUGUAUAAUUGAAGAAGGAAUUGAAGACAGAAAGGGAGGAGCAACCAACUUUCUAGAACUUGGCAUCAUUUUUUGUUUUGAAAAAAUGGUAAUAAGAUCUUUUUAGCGUCAACUGCAUUUCAUCGGUAUACAAAUCCGUAGAUAGAGGAAAUCCUAAGAGUUGUCAACAUUUCCAAAUACACCUCCAAGGAAGUAAAAUAAGCUCCGCGAGAAAGGAUUCAGUGGUUGUACAAUGUAAGAGAGUUCUAGAAAUUGCUUGUCAAGUUUUUCAAACUUGAUAAAUGAAGAAGUUAGUUGUGAGGCCACUCAGGGGGAAAGUGUUGAUGCAUAAAGUGACCCUAGGUAGCUAAAUGUGUUCUAGUGAUAUGAAAAAUUAUUUUGGUGUAUAAUAUAUAUGAAGAGUGUUUGUGUUGAGUCAUCCGAAGAAGUUAUUUCUUGUAAUAUGUGAAGAGAUGCUGCUGAAUGAUGAUGUUGUGUGAAGUUUGGAGAUAAAAAGGCUAUAUGUAGAUGUGAAGAUCGUUUUAUCUUGAAGCGUUGUGAAGGGAGGUACAAUGUCAGCCUUAUCCCUGAAGAUUUGCUAAAGAGAUUUUGUUAGAACAGGCGUGAUAAGCAUGGUUGCCUGCACACCAUACCUUUCUAUUAACCAGUCAAUAAGCUUGAAACAUCCCAAAAAUACAACCCACAAAUUUCGUUUUUAAAACAUCAUUAAAACCAUCAUUUCAUCACCAAAGUAUAAAAUCAACAACUAAGUGUUUCAAAAUCUCACAAUAUCUAUCACAUAUCAAAUAUCAUGUCAAAUGUCAUAUCAAAAUAUCAGAGUAAAACUUCCAGGCUGAAGAUUGUGGUGUGUGCUAUGCGAUCAUCCCGAGCCCUUCCCUUUGCUAGUGGAAGUACCUAAAACCAAAACUGAAAAUUGUAAGCAUGAAGCUUAGCGAGCUCCCCCAAACUACUAUAUACCAUACAAUAAUAUAUAAAGCAAAUACUAGGCCUUGCCCACUGUAUCGGACCGAAGUCCGGACUAACUAGGGCCUCGCCCACUGCAUCGGACCGAAGUCCGGAAUAACUAGGGCCUUGCCCGCUGCAUCGGACCGAAGUCCAGACUAACUAGGGCCUCGUCCACUACAUCGGACCGAAAUCCAGACUAACUAGGGCCUCGCCCACUGCAUCGGACCGAAGUCCGGACUAACUAGGGCCUCGCCCACUGCAUCGGACCGAAGUCCGAAAUAACUAGGGCCUUGCCUAUUGCAUCGGACCGAAGUCUGGACUAAACUGAACGUAGCAUAACAUGAUCGUAACAUAUAACAUAAUCACAUACACAUGCAUGAAUCACAAAGACAUCAAGAAUUCAAACUACUUCUUAGGAAUACCCCAUCAUCAGACCCAAGUCCGGAACUACUAUCACCUAAACGGGUCGGCAUAGUAGCCGUAGACCCUCUCCUACUUGAAGGAAACUCACCUCGCGUAGCUGACUGCUGAAAUACUGAGCGGGAAAUGUCUGACUGCUGCUCCAGUGACUACCCGGCUAUCAUUUCCACAAUGACACUUAGUCAAAACACUGAUAACUAUUGUCAGGGUAAGAUGACCAUUUUACCCCUGGCUAGAGUCAACAUCCUGGUCAAAGUCAACUUCCAGUUGACCUGACUCGUCGAGUUAGCAUGCCAACUCGUCGAGUCCCCUAGUCCUUCCUUUGUCCUCAAUUUGAUUAUGCUCGCCGAGUUUAGCAAGAACUCGACGAGUUCUCCUUCAUUCAUGAUAUCGGGACAACCUUUAACCGACUCGCCGAGUUGUAUGAACAUGUCCAGUCUGUGACUCGCUGAUUUGUAUGAACAACUCGUCGAGUCUAUCUUCAUGGGUUGGGAUAUUGCCUUGGACUCGCUGAGUGUGUUCUUCCACUCACCGAGUCCCAUGGUUUCCAGGCCAUGGCUAUGUCCUAAUAUGUUGAGUCACUCCUAUGGACUCAUCUAAUCUCUUCUAAACUCAACCGGGUUCCCUUGAACCCCGAACUGAUUUGGGGAAUCAACACAUGACUCACCGAGUCCCCAAAACAGACUCGUCGAGUCUACGAAUGACCAAGUCCAUAAGUCAAUUUUUGAUGUGCAAAACUUAACCAAAAGGUAGAUCGGGGCUCCUAAGGCCGAUAUAUCUCGUGAAGUCAUAAGCUUUACGUGCUUGCAUGAAGCUUUUGAGCUUAAAGGGUCAAAAUGGGGGUUAAUAGCAUGCAUGGGGGUUCUCAUGGUCUUCAGACUCAUCGAGUAUACUACUUAGUUCCCGACCCGAAUUCGAUCUUACUCGACGAGUUGGGCCUUCAACUCGUCGAGUCCAAGGCUAAAAUUAUAAAUUUGACUUAAAUAAAUGCAUACCUGGAACCGGGUGUUACAAACUAUACUUUAUUUAGCUAUAAAUAGUGGGUAUUGGAUUAUUUUCAAAAGUUUGUCGAUUUCUUCAUUCUUCCUUCUUGUAAUAGUUGUUAUUGAAAUACAAAUCUCUGUUGUAUCCAUCUGUCACACCCCCAAACCAGAACGACGGAUACGUUCGGGGGAUGAGGACGUCAGGAAUAGUAUCACAACAAUUGUAUAAUAGUAAUCAAAGCAACAACAACCAUUUUACUAAUAAUAUAGUAUUUAGAUUGUAUUCGAAUAACAAUUUGAUUGACCCCAAAAGUAAAUAGCAAAACAAAGACUUGAAGCUACUAUGCUCCGUCUUCUCGGACCCUGUAUGUGUACCUGUUUACUAGUUUCCUGAGAAUACAAGUUGUUUUGAAAAAGUGUCAACAUUUAAGUUGGUGAGUUCAUAAGCAUUUUGUUUUAGAAAAAAAGUUCUUUGUUUCUUGAAAAUGUUUGUGUGUUCCUCCAGAAAAAUCCUUUAUUUUCUUAAUAAAUAAUGAUAAGUAAUAUGACCAUACCAUUUCCUUAUAUGAUCACUUAGUGAAUACAAGUUAUAUAAUCCAGAUUGAAUGGGCACUUGAAUGUAUGAAUCUGCCUUAAGCCCACAACCAAACAAGGAACAGAAGUAAGGCAGAAAGCACACAUUCUACUAUUUAUCGGAUCUUCAUUAUAUAUAACCCUAAUGUAUUCACUAGGUAAUCACAGAGAGCAAACAAUAAUGAUCCUUUUAAAUGUGAUGAGUGUGUGCCUUCAGAAAAUCCUAUAUUUUCUUAAUAAGAAAUGUGAUCAUACUAGUUCCUUCUAUGAUCACUUAAUUUAUAUUAGCUAUAUAUAAGCUGGUAUCGAACGGACAAUUGAAUGUGUGGAUAUGCCCUAAGCCCACAACCAAACAAGGAACAGGAAGUAAGAUGGAAAUCACACAUUCCACUGCCUAUCAGAUAUUAUUUAUAUAUAACUCUGAUGUAUAAGCUAAGGAACCAUAGAAUUAACAAUUAAAGGUCCUUUAUGUUAUACUAUUUUGUAAAUAAGUGUUGAAACUUUGGUAAAUAUGUUUUUAGUUCCACUCAUUCUACUGUAAAGUAUUGUUUUUGGUAAGUAAUCGUAUUUGUUUCUAGAAAGCUGAAUUGUAAACUGUUUGCUUGUAAAAUAAUGAUGUUUAUCCUGGAAAAUCCUAUAUUUUCCAUAAAACUAAAUUGUAGCCUUAAACGUUCCAAGACCGAAAAAUAAAAGUAUAAUUGCCAUACUUAAUUUAAUGAUACGUAGUUUUAUUCAUAAGUAAAACUAUCUGAAGAACUGUUUGCGCUCUAAACUAGAUGUGAUGUUAUUACCCUCUUAUGAUCACUUAGUACGUACGGGUUAUAUAAAAUCGAGAUCGAACAGACAAUCGAAUGGGUGAAUAUGCCCUAAGCCCACAACCAAACAAGGAAUAGGAAGUAAUGCGGAAAUCACACAUUCCACUAUCUACCAGAUAUUAAUUUUAUAUAACCAUGAUGUAUAGACUAAGUAAUUAUAGAGUUAAUACCCCUUCAAGACUGUUUGAAAAUAUAUCAUUACAUAAAUAUUUAGUUAAUGCUUAUUGUGAGUGUUCAUCAUAGCCAUACUAAUAUGACUAAUGACCUACACGAUGUUCUUCAGGCAUCGGAAAGUUAUGACAUUUGUCACCCCAGGCCUGCCGGCCUAGCUGUUGCAAGCAGCUCGGGUGCAGUAUUGUCAGUCCCAUGUAGAUCUAUACACAAACUCACGCUCACCCUCCAGUAGACUCUGGUUAUAAUUUAGGAUUUUAAUGGGUACCAUGUUUGGUACAACGAUGGAAGUGGCUCACAAUCCUCUAUUAACUAGUUUACUUAAAGUGUGUUCAAGAUUCCUUUUCCUUGUUAAUGUUUUUAUUAUCCUUCUUUAAUGUUUACAUUAUAUAAAAUAAUUGUAAUUUUAUAUGACCAUUCUUUGACUCAAAAAGAGUAAAAAUAACGUGUACGUUCCCCAACUAUACCUAUUAUAGUUCAAAAUGUAAGUUUUCUGUAUUUUGUUCUGAACUUUGUAAAAUAGCAUGUAUGUUCCAUAAACUAUACCUAUCAUAGUUUAUAUGUUUGUUCCAUUGGUGUGAAAACCGUUGCGUCUUAACAUGUUUUGUAAAUCUUUGUAAAUUUAAUAGUAACGAUGUUUUGCGUAUUUAAAUAAUUUCACAUUUAAUCGCAUAUUAACGGUAAGAAAACAUAAUAAGCAAUUUAUAUUUUUAAACACAAUAUUUCUUGUGUUUUACUUGUAUCCCCCCUAAAAACAUUGAAAAAGCUUGGAAAAAUAUAGCGGUAUGAAUGCACCUUAAGUGUGAUUGUGAGUAGAAUCUAGCCAGAAACUGACAGCAUUUCGUGAUCGUUGGGCUCGGGAUGUGGAACAUUUUCAACAAAAUGAGAGAGAGGAAGGAUUUUGGUGUCAGGAAGGAAAUGGCCGAGCUUGCUAUUUAUAGGCUGAUUUUUGGUCUCUCACGUCAUGAGCCCAACAUGCUCACAUCGUGAGCACGAUGAGUCAUCUCAUAGACUUGCCACAUGCGUUUCUAGCUCCGAAAGGUGUCCGGAUGACUUCUCACAUCGUGAGAAUGAUAUGCUCAUGUCAUGAGCUUCCAAGAGUCAUCCCGUAGACUUCCUAAGUGUCUUCUAGCCUCGAUUAGUGUCCGUUUGACUUCCCACAUCGUGAGAAAUCAUGCUCACGUUGUGAGCCUUAAAUGUAGACUUUCCAUCUGCAUUCUAGCCUUGAAAAGCGGCGUUUUGACUCCUCAUGUCAUGAGAAUCUAUGCUCACACCGUGAGUCCAAUUAGAUUAGGGUUUCUAACACGCGUCAUGCUCUCAGACAGUUGUAUCUUCGGAAGGUCAUAUGUUUGCACACGAGCUCCGUUUUUGGCGUUCUUUAUAUCCACACGUAGGUAUUUCCGAGUACUACAACUUUCUUUUAGACUUUAAUAACUAAUUCUAAGUAUAUUUUAAAUUACACUUGUUAUAAAGGAUAUAGUGAUAGAAUUUAUCAUAACUUCUUUAUGCGAAGUCAGAUUUAGACGUUCUAUAUAUUUUUGGAAUCGUAUAGACUUGUAGUAUUGAAUGAAAACUUCAUUUAAAGAUUAAAGUAAAUUAGUUAUAAUAUGUGUUUGUUGUAUUUAUGGGAAUUAUCUCUAACCUAAAUUUGACUAGUGUUACACCAUCUAUACUCUUGUUUUCAUCACUUACAAACUUUGUGUUUGCAUGCAAGCCAAGUUAUGAUUCAACAAAAUGUCUUAUUACUUGCUUAUGUUGAUUUAGUUAUGUAGGUUUUAUGUUUUACGAUAUAAAUUUUUCUAACAUUCUGCAUUUAAUUAUUGUUGAGCUAUUUAAAAGAUCCAUGAGAUUAACUUAAUUCUACAUCAUAAUCUCCAUCCAAAGUUCUUCUCUUAGCAGAUGGAAUAUACUAUAUAUAGUGGAAUGUCAGCUCUUAUUAUAUGUAUGAAUUUCAUAGUCAAAUUGUCAUCACAAUUCUAUGGUCAAAUGACAUGUCAAUGGUGAAAUGAAAAUUCUUAUUAAAUGUAUGAAUUUCGUAGUCAUAGUGUAAAGUUUUGUUGUCAAAUUAACAUGAUGAAUCUCUAGUGAAAUGACAAGUCAUCAAUAAAAUGACAACUCUUAUAAAGUGUUUGCAUUUUUUAUGAAAGUGUAAGUUUUUUAGCCAAUUUGACAUGAAAACUAUGAGGUGAAAUGACUAGUCACCAACGAAAUGACAAUGCUUAUUAAAUGUCUAAAUUUUGUAGUCAAAGCGUACAUUUCUGUAGUAAAAUUGACAUGAAAACUCACUAACUAAAUGACAAGCCACUAGUGAAAUGAAAAUUCUUAUUAAAUGUUUGAAUUUUGUAGUGAUUCUGUAUAUUUUCAUAGUUAAACUGACAUGACAAGUCACUUGUGAAAUGACAAGUCACUCGUGAAAUGAUAACUCUUAUUUAAUGUAUGAUUUUGUAGUCAAAAUGUACAUUUUAUAGUCAAAUUAACAUGACAACUAACAUACCAAUUACACAUGUAGAUAGUUCUAUAUAAACAUGAUAAAAUCAUAAUAAUUCCAUACCAAAAUUAUUUACAACUUAACAUUCAUAAGUCGAUUUUUGCUUGGAAAAAAGUCUUCCUAUAUUCCCUCGAAAGUGUGCUCUAAAACUAUUUAUCCCAUCAAGGGCCCUUCAUGCUAUAAUAAUACUUUUAGACCUUGGAAGAUGUCUGAAAAAAUGAAGAAGAAAGUGCUUGCCAAAGAAGAAGAACAAGAGACACACACUUGCAACAUUCAUGCACGAGAUACGAUGGACAAAAAAGAAGAAAUUGGGAAAAAAUGAAAUAGAUAAAACAAAUGAAAUUAGAAAUAAAGAAGAAUGAUAAAGGGGUCUAAAAAUCUCUAAUGUUGGGAGAGGAAGAGCUAAUCUUUGAUGUGGAGGACAUGAAUAAGAAACAAGCAUGUAUUAACAUAAAAAAAAUCUUGUUGGAUUACUCCAAAAUGUAGACUAGAGAUAAUUAAUAGGAUAUAGUGUAUAAGAAUAUGAUUUUUUAUGCUAUUGGUAUGGUAUAUUUUAUAUGAUACUAUUAUUUAGUAAUGAUGUGUUGUAACAUCAUGUUUUCGGGGCUAGAAAUUUUUUAGGGGUAGAAUUGGUAGUGUGUAUCAUACCAAUUAUAUUUGGUACAAAAAAUUUGCUACCAUUACCCUAUAAAGUAUAGUUGGUAUCAACUUGUUUGGCUACUAAUAAGUUCUAUUGGUAGAUGUUGCUAAUGGUAUUGUUAUGAUAUGUGCUCCGAGUUGAACGACAUCUUGAAAUAGUGUCGUCAGGGUUUGUAGUGACAAAGAACAUGGUUUGGCAUGCGGAAUUAAAGCUUGCACAACUGAACAUGGUGAUUUGGGUGAUCAAGAGAUGUAUUGAUUGCAUAUGGUGUUACAAAAAGGAUGUAGAUCUAGACUACAUAAAUAAUACACACUUACACACUCAACUUUUACAUCUCUUAAGCACACAUCUACAAGGGGACAAACCCACCUUAUAUAGAGGUGUUUACAUGUCUCUCUCUCACUCUCUAUCUCUCAUGUGUCAUAAGGCUAAUACUCUACAUGCAAGUGGGUUUUACAAAAGUCAAACAUUUAUAAAGGCAAUCAUGAAUAACUUUGUACCCCAACAUUCUCCGCCUCAAAGUUAGGAAUGAAUGACCCACUUCAAUUCUUCAAAAGUCGAACAACUACAUGGUUCGAGCCUCAAAGGUGACACAUGUCGAAACAAACUUCAAUCUUUAAUUCUUCCAUGAUUCUUCAAUUUGGGCUCUAGGAUGUGAGACCAUACAUUCCGAGCAGCAACGAAUGAUUAAUUCCAAAUAAUCACCGAAAAUUUGCGCAUAAAAACACAUCCCAAAAAUCUUCAAUAAAACCAAACCCAUUUCGAAUACAUCACUUCCGAACUUCCAAUUGCAUCAUCUCGUAAGCAUCAAAACUUCAAUAUCACUUCAGUCUUCAAAUCCGCGUAAUAUGAAAAAUUCAAGUUCGAAUUUCCAUUUAAACUUCUCCCCCUUUUUAUAAUCGAAAUUUAAUUAUAAAAUUCCAAGGGAAAAAAAGUGCUCUAUUUGGAAUUUUUCAUGUCAAAACACCCCCUUAACAUGUGGCAUAAACUUUGUGCUUCGAUCCGGAAUAUCCAAAAAAUAUUCAAUUUUUAGCUUCGUUCUCGGAUUGCCUUUGACAAAAUUUCUCAAAAAUGGGUAGAAAUUAUCAAUUUCAAAAUUCUGCAGUGACCCGUUGCGCCCAAAACAGCAAAAUAUGCAAAACUCUCCCUCUUUUUCAAAUCUGGGUAAAAAGUGUCAAUUUGCACAAACUGCAGGAGCCUGAAAUGCACUUUCUUCAAUUUCCAACAAAAACAAUACUUUUUUGAUUUUGGGUGCAAACUGCCAAAAAUUUGAACUCUCACGGACCAUUUUCGAAAAUUCUACGCUUGGUGCACAAAUCAUAGGAAGAUUCCCCAAAAUAUAAGAAGCUCCAAAUUUUUUUUCGAAUUUGAGUGAAAAGUGUCAAACAUUCGAAACUUGUGUUAAUGUUCGAAGUGUCAAAAAUUCGAAGGUCAAGGGGCUGAAUUCGAAAAUAUGACAUUUAACUUUUUUCAAUUCAUACGAAGACUUUUUCAUAAAUUGUACGAAGGGUUCAAUCAUACGAAGUUUUUAAGUUUUGACAAACUGUCGUAACUUCAAGGGCCAUAAACGAAACUUUUCUUUUCCUUCUUUCCAAUUCAUAUGAAAAUUUCUCAGCAUACGAACCUUUUCUUAUGAAUAGUAACUUUUUAACCAUUCAUCCUCUUAAUCGACUGUAGAAUCAACAAUAUCAAGAAUUGACCCUUCAUAUCUUCAAAAUCCAACCACAGGGACCCUUCGUAUAUUAACCCAAUUGAACUUCAAAACUUAACCCAGUUCUUUUCUGAGCUUUGAUUCGUAACUCCAAAAUCAUCAAUCAAAAUUGCAACUAUCGACCAUUACCCUGUAAGGAUUCGAAUAUGAACAAUCAACCACAAUCAAACCCAUUUGAUUACCAUUAAUGAAUCCAUUACAGCAAGAUACGAAUAAUCAAUCUCAAUAAAGACUCCAUUCCAAAUACGAAUCCAGAUUCUAAAAAUCUUCAUGGCUCAAUAUUUGAUUCAAAUCAAUAUUAUUUUCCAGUUCGUUAUCAAAAUCCAAACAAUGACCAUACAGGAACCCUUCGUACAUCCACAAUCAAAAUCAUCUUCCCAAAUCUUCGUUAUCAUUCAAGCCAAAUCAGUUUGUUCCCAAGCCAUCUCCUUUAAACAACGAUUAGCAAUACCAAAUUGAAAUCCAUCACCUUUGAUACUUAGUGUUUCUUCCAACAUUGAACAUUGAUCUCGAAAAUCAAAACAAAAUUUAUUGACGAAGAACCAAGAACUCAAUUUUGACUUUUCUUUCUUUGACUUUUCGAAAUCGAAUGCAAAUAAACACGAAAUCGAAGACUUUUUAAUUCAAGUUCAUAUCAAACUAUCUAUUUGAAUAAUUCUUCAGCACUUGUUCAUCACGUUCUUAUCUCAGAUUUAUAAGUUAUGAAAAGCAAUUCUCGAUUUCAAAAUCGUAAAGUGAUCAUCAUCGAUAUAGAAGAAUAUCGAUUCACAUGCUUAGAAUCAUACCCGGAAAUCAUCGAUUUACAGAACUAAUGAGAAGUGAUAAAGAAAUCGAUGAAAGACUUUAGACAUUUGAAUGAACAAAUGAAAAAUCGUAAGGUGGAAAACAUCACAUAUGUUUAUCUUUAUUUGACAAAUCAGAAUUAAUUUUGUAUACAGUGAUGGAUUGAUUUACUUUUAGGCUUAUCAAAUAAAGAUAGUAAUUGGAUCAAAUUGGGCUCAAGUAUGAAUUAGUACACAAAUUGAACUUGGGCUUAUUCUGGACUAAACGAAUAGAAAACAUGAUCAAUCUUGAUGAACAGUAACAUACCCUUAUAUUCGAAUCAAAUAGAAGAUGCUUUUUGGAAUCAAUUUUGAUUCAACACAACAAAUUCAAAUUUAGAAUUGAAUCAAACAAAUGGAUUCGAUAUUGGAUUGGGCUUGAUCAAUGAAAAAUUUAUUGGAUCACAACAAAUGGGUUUUUCAAGAAAAAUUUGAUCCAACGAGUCAAAUGAUCAAAUAUCAAAAACACAACGCACGAUUCAAUGAAAUUAAGAGAUAUAAUAGAGAGAGACUCACCAAAAUUGCUCAAAUUGCGACAAAUGUUGCCAAACCUAUAAUCGUUCUUCAAAAAUCACCUUGAUCUUGAAGACCCGCUCUGAUACCAAUUGUGGUGACAAAGAACAUGGUUUGGCAUGCAGAAUUAAAGCUUGCACAACUGAACAUGAUGAUUUGGUUGAUCAAGAGAUGUAUUGAUUGUAUAUGAUGUUACAAAAAGGAUCUAGAUCUAGACUACAUAAAUAACACACACUUACAUACUCAACUUUUACAUCUCUCAAGCACACCUUUACAACUGGACAAACCCACCUUAUAUAGAGGUGUUUACAUGUCUCUCUCUCACUCUCUAUCUCUCAUGUGUCUUAAGGCUAAUACUCCACAUGCAAGUGAGUUUUACAAAAGUCAAACAUUUACAAAGUCAAUCAUGAAUAACUUUGAACCCCAACAGGGUUAAGCCUGAGAAUCACAACAAAGAAAGAACUGGCUGAAGUCGUGGUUUGGGAGGUGGUCCUGGAACGAAGCUUCGACGUUCGAGUCAGUAAUUGGAUUAGAGAAUUAGGGUUUAGUUUAAGGUAAAGAAUGAGGCAAUCCCUUCUUUUGGAGAAGAAGGGUGUCUUUUAUACAUGUUGUCGUGGGAGCAUUUCCCUGAUAGUACCUUUUGUCUUGUCUGGGCCGACAGAACGUGGAGGCGUCCUAUCGGGGGAUCAUGCGGUUAUCUGCUAUUGGUGCAGAAUUAUCGGAGGGCAGUGAUCUGAGUGCUAUACUUGUCAUUAUGGGAAGCGAUUAGUACUAUUUUGGCUUGAUAUAAACUGGAGUUUCUCAUUCUUAGUUAGACCUUGGGGCUAGAGCGUCAGGGUCUAGGUGCGAGGCCGUGAGGGCAAGGGAUCAGGCCUAACACUUACACUGGGUAGCGACUAUCAACUAGGACGUCCUUUAGAUACCAGUCUUGUUAUCUUUAAUGUAUUCCUAGAAUGAUAUGUUAACAAGUUCCCUAGUAUAAUAAACGUCAGCGCAACUUGGAUUGCUGAAUUGUUCUAGCUUAGCUCAAGACACAUGUUCGACAGAGAUGGCUCUGACGUCCACUGAUGUGACGUAUCCUUUUGCGCAGACGGUUUCAUCAUUGUAACUAUUUGUGUUUCCCGCCUCACAUUUAAAGCUUCCCUUAUCAGGGACAAUUUCCAUUUCUUUGGUCUCCUUGUCACACCCCAAAACCGAAACGGCGGAAACGUUCUGGGGUGGAUGACAUCAUGUCAAGUAUCACAACACAUCCAUUAUAGUAAUCAAAGUACAACAAAACAUUGCAUUAAUAGUAAUAGUUUUACAAGGUUACAUUACAACAAUUUAAAGUAAUACAAGUAAUAGAAUAAAUACAGCGUGGUACUAAACUAUCUUCAUCAAUAGCUCCGGGGAGGUACCUGUCUAAUCGCUGACCUGAGAUCACAAGUUAUUUGAAAAGCGAGUAUCAACAUUUUUACAAAUGCUGGUGAGUUCAUAAAUAUUUAGUGUCAUUUAGUCAAAUAACUUUAUAAAGUAGUGGAUUAAGUGUUGUUAGUGCAUUAGUGUUCUUUCCAGAAAAUCCUAUAUUUUUUUUAAUAAAAACAUCCUUCUACCAAGACUGGUCAGUGUAAUGUGGUAAAAAGUAGUUUUCCCUUAAUAGCUUUUAUUAUCAAAAUACUGAAUUUGAUUAUUAAAGAAAGCAAGAGACAUCAGGGAAUAAUAUAUGCAUCAGCAGUGAGGACUGCUGACUAAGGCAAAAGAAUCAUAGACUCCAGGAGAGUAUCGAACUAACGACACGCCCGGUUCAGUCUAACAAAUGGAGACACAGACCCCAGAAGGUACCAAUUGAAAGGUACAGCUGGUAAAGUCCAAAACAGUGAAUACAGACCGAAGAUGAUACCAAAUGAAAGGUACAUCUCGCAAGGGCAAAACAAAGACUAUAAACCGCAGGCAAUAUCAAAUGAAAGAUACGUCUAGCAUGGUCAAAACAGUGUGACUCUGAAAAGGGACAUCAGCAUACAAUGUAAAUUGCUGACGAUAUACCGUUACCUUAAAGCCAUGAAUUAUAAGGCAACCCAGGAUACUCGUAACCAUACUGACUAGAGUUCUAGAUGCCCUACAAGCAUCUAUAUAAUGUGACAUUUGUCACCCGUUGGCUUGGUAGGCCGGGACUGUAGCCAGCAGUCAGGGUGCAGGGUUGUCAUUCCCGUAUAGGCCUAUACACACAAUGUCCGCUCUCCUUACAGGAGACUCUGGUUACCAACUAGACGACGGAGAAGGCCACGUCCCGAAGAUGCAUCCCAAAUAGAGGAUAGUGUGUUUCUAGAGGUGAGUGGGUUUCUAAUGUAAGUGAUAUACUAGAGGUAGAGACUUCCAAACAGUGGGUAGUGUGUUUCUAAAGUAAGUGUAGAAUAGAGGUAGAGACUCUUAACUGACUCGACUAGAGAAUUUCCUGUAUGUCCAUACUCAUAUAUAUAGUAUAUAACUAAUGAACCAAACGACCUUCGGACGGCCACCCGAUCCCACCAGACCACAUCUAAACGAAGAAAAGGAAAUAGGGCGGAUGAUCCUUCCUAAGUCUUUCAAUCGUUACUUAUAUGUAUCUAUAUAAGCACAGACAUACAUCUAACUACAGCUGAGUGUGAAAAUCAAGUAGAAGUGAUCCUUGUGAAGUAGUAGCGUCUAUACAAGUGAAGUAAAAGCGGCCGCAAGUGAAGCAGGAGUGUCAAAUAAGUAUAAGCGUAUCACGAAGCAGAGGCGACAAUAAUUGAAACGAGGGCGUUUCAAGUAUAAGUGAAGUAGAGUCGAUAUCAAGUAUAAGUGAAGUAGAAUUGUAUUUCUAAGUAAGAGUAUGAAUAAGUAUAAGCGUCCAUCAAGUAUAAGCAUCUAUCAGUAUAAGUGGAAGCAUUACAGAGUAGGAGUAUGAAAUAAGUAUAAGCGAAUCAGCAAUAAUUUCAAGUAAAAAUAUACGUCAAAAGGGAAUCUUUAAUGAAAAGCCUUUAUGAACAUAAAUUUUCACAAGUUGUAUUCUUUUGUAAAAUAUGUUUGAAAAUCUUGGAAAAAUCUUUCACAAACCAGUUUAGAAUGAAUUUAGUUAAAAAUGUAUAAGUACGAGUUUUAAAACAAUCGAAAAGCGUUAUAGCGUCCUACUCGGUAAAAACAGUGUACAGUGGCAAAAUCUUGUGCAUGCGGGUUAUCAAUCACAUGCGAUUGAUAUGAUAACUGGCAUGUUUAACUUGUAAUCCCCCCUAUAAAAACAUUUAAAAGCAUUUAAAAAGGUUCAUUCAGGGGUAUGAACUCACCUGGUAUAAGUAGGUCCAACGAAGGUGUCGUUUGGGCGUUUGGUGCCACGUAGGGACUCGAACACACUCGAUGACCUAUUUAACAUAUGAUAACAUAUGUUCACAUACAAUUAGUAUAUUUAAUACUAAUUAAACAAUUAUACACGCUCAAAGGAGCGGAAAGCACCUUUGGUUGAGUGUUUGGGGUCCCACGUAGCGUUUAAGGGUGCUAAGUGUCUCCUAUCAGUUGUGGAACUUUGCUAAUCUCAACUAUCAAGUGUGUGAAUGGGUUUAAAGCAUUAACAUGGACCAACUUGGAGUUUACGGCCUAACUCAAGGGAGUUUACGGCCGUGAACUCCCAAGGUCAUAUUCUUGGGUGUUUUAUGCUUCUAGCUUGCUCAUUGAUUUAUUCUAAGCACUUUUCCCAAAAGGCAUGAGUGGGUUUGAGGCCUCUAAGGGCAUGAUCUAUGAGUUUAUGGCCAAGGGACCACUCCUAAAGGAGUUUACGGUCGUAAACUCUAAUCCUUAGAGUUUUGGGAAGUUUAAAGCCCCUAAUGCCUUUCUAGUGAUUUCUAAUGAAGUAUGAUGCUAUUUUGAAGGAUUAAAACCAUCAUUUGAGUGGGUUUUGGGGAGUUUACGGCCUAGAUAAAUGCUUGGGCCGUAAACUCCAAGUCAUGCCUCAUUUCCUUGUGUUUAAGCCUUUAAAUCCCCUCCUAGUAUUUCAUGGUAAAUGUAUGAGGCUAUUUGGGGGACAAAACAAUUAUUUUGGGCAUGUUUAAGGGUGUUUACGGCCUUGACCCUUGUCUGGGCCGUAAACUCCCUUUAAUAAUUCAUUUUGGAGCGUUUCAAGGGUCUAAACUCAAGAGGAUAAGUUCCUAAAUUAUGUAUGAAGCCCUAGGAUGAGUUUGGAGUGCAUUUGGGACCAUGACUUGGGGAGUUUACGACCUAAGCAUGUGCUUGGGCCGUAAACUCUUCUUUGAGUCCUAAAUCCAUGCAUUUUAGUGUUUAAACACCCCCAGGCUAUAUCCCCUGAUAGUUUCUAAGCUUAUGGUCAAGUUUAAAGGCAUGAUUGGCACCAUUUUAGGGGUUUACGGCCCUAGAAUGUUCCUGGGCCGUAAAAUCCUUAUCCUAUGCCUUCUUGGACGGUUUUUGGGCUAUAAACAUGAAUCCAUACGUUUAGAAUAAGCUAGGGUAAGCGGACUUACAAUUUGGAAGCGUUUGGUUACGGAUUCGGGUGAAAAUGGGUCUAGAGAGAGAGUAUAGAGAGAGAGAGUGUAAAAAGUCUCCAAUGGACACCACUCAACCUUAUAUAUAGGGUUUUGAGUUGGGGCUCAGUGGUAUUUUUACCCGAUACUGCCAUCAAACGAGGCUUUUGGUCGCACCCGAUUUAGUGGUCGUAACUAUAAAACUUGACAUUUUCCAAUUUAAUGGAAAUGUGUGUCAUGUGUUUUUAUUCCCUUAUAUCACGACUUAUCGGCAUAUACAUUAUAAAAAAAUGGGAUGUUUAUUGAAUUGACGCCCUUUAACUAACGGAACUUUUAUACAGUGGAAUAUUCCGUUAACGGUAACGGGGAAAAUGUAACGGGAACACUUGGGUUGUCACAUCAUCCCCCCGUUAGAGGGAAUUUCGUCCCGAAAUUCAGGUCUAGGCAAGGAAGUAGGUAUGAAUGGCCAAGAAGAGGUAAGGAAAUACUCCCUAUACGGUUGUCCUCGCAUACCCAGGUGAACUCUAGUCCGUGUUUGCCAUUCCAACAGACCUUCACGUACGGGAUGCGAACUCCGUUUCGAGUAGCUAGUGGGUUCCGCCUGGUGUAUCUACGAGGUUAGGGUUCUCAAUGGAUUCUAUCAAGAUGAGUGGGGUACGAAGAGUGAUGUCGGGUAAUCGCAUAUCAAGACUAUGAAGUGGACCGAUCGAGUGUGAGUCUUGUGGUAUAUCUGAAAGUAGUAGCGGUCUGAAUAGGGUUGGACCAAAUCUCCAUGAGAAUCCCCAUAUGGUCCUAAACUCUCGAAAAGGUAGAGCUUUUCAGUACUAAGAACAUAGUGUACUUCUAUGGCAAGAUCAUCACUGGAGUGAUCGCCAUUUUGAAGUUCCUAACGUUCCCACCUGUACUGGAUGUGUGUGUGGUCCUUCAGGUUGGUUCUUAGAAUGCUCGAGUGGUCUUUUGUCUCACGUUCCCUGUCAACGGGCUGAUAGAGACUUUCUAGAUCUUCGAGUGGGUUGUAUGGCUAUGGUUAUCGGUUUUCUAUAGAGUGUCUAUCCCAAGCUUGUGCAAAAUGGACCUGCACUGACGACGCUUGAGAUACGGGAACCCUGAGGAUCGGGGAGAUAGGGUUUCACCAGACGAGUGUUGGACUACCUCGGGAGGUGGUUCUACUAUCUCUGUGCGAGAUAGUAUUCGUGGAACACCAAAUAGUCCAAGGAAUCUCUAAGACUGUGGUUCAUUCUAGCGUGGAAAGUGUAUGUUCAUGCAUGACCCUUCGACUAACACCAGGGAUGGUGUCAAGCCUAUGAUCUCUUCGGGAUCCGGGUCAUGAGAUCUAACGUAGCUACUUUCACACUUGACCGAUUAUUCUUGGCUGCGAAGGUUAUCCUGUGGUCCUCGGUAUCCUAGUGUUCACUUCGGAGAAUGUAUUUCAUCAUCUACAGGGCGACGGCGAUUUCCUCCAUGCAAGAGGGUGGAGAAUGAUAGGCACUUCCUGUCUAUAAUAGGGUGGGCAAGGUGCCUGAGUAGUUAGAGCAUCCACUGCAACUACUCUUCCGAAGGUUCUGGGUUUUCUCGGUCUAGGUCGAAUCUAGUGAGUAUAUGGUUCAUCACUCGGAACUUUACUUGCUCAACCCGUAGAGAUUUUCUUGACUCCGGCUCCUAUGUUAUGGAAUAGGGUGAAAGUGUUUUGCUAAGAGGUUCGUGGUAGAACUCAUGCUUGGCUUAACCGCCAAUACUUGAUGUAUGCCAGCGUAUACCUGGUUAUAGUGGUCAGCCUCGUGAGUUCUAUUCUCUGGGUUCACAAACCUGAUGUGCGAGGUGCGAAGGAUCUCCCGGGGGAAUCUAAGAGGUAUGCUUCGGAUGGUUGUCGUUUCCUGAAGUAUCUGCAGUGUCUUUCGCUUUGGUGUUUAUCUGACUACGAGAGGUCGGUCAACAGUGUGUGGUACCCUCCCUUGGGUACUUCGGAAGGUUUGAGAUAAGAGGGACGAUUGACGGAUCGCAUUAGGUUUGAUUAUUUGUGUUAGGUUUAGGUUCGGAAGAACCUUUAUUUGCCGACUUGGCUAUGGAGAAAGUUCUUUUUACACAGCACUAAGGAUGUACACAUGGUUGCACGAAGUCAAACCAUGAUCAAUAGAGUCGUCGAAGUUGGCACACUCCGACAUGAUAUAAAGUGAAGAUCGAUAGAGUCAUGUGCCGAACAGGUACACAAGUUCUAGGCGUCUUGGGGUUUCGUCCUAUGUGUCACUACCGCGGAUACCUGGACUGAUAGAGUUGACGCGGAACUAUGAAGAGUUCUAAGUGUUUCCGAAUAGAGUAUCUUUUCAUGAAUGAAUUCCCACAAGGCAUUUCUAUAAUCGCCUCACAUAUACUAGUCAUGUAUAUUUAAGGUGGGGAGGACUGUUGACUGAGCAACCCCGCCCUAAAUCCACAACCAAACGAGGAACAGGAAAUGAGGCGGCAUUCGCUCACUCUAGGUCUGUCCAUCUUAAAUAUACAUGGCCGUAACGUAUAUGUUUAGCCAUUAUAGUUUUACCUAAUGAAUUUUAAAUUUUAUAACAGUGCUGCGACUUUCGCCUUACUGAGAAGAAUUUACAUUUGAAUUAGUCUUUUAUUGUUCUUAGUUUAGUUAUCCAAGAUCGAGAGACGUACCAAAAUCUAACGAGUUCCUUGAAGUUUCCUCCUAAACGGUAGAGUUAGGCUCCUCCCGUGCCUUUGUUGUUUCUUUCAGUUGGGCAAUCCCUUUUGAAGUGUCCCAUUUCACCACAUAGGUGGCAAACUGUACGGGUCACCACCUUGGUGAUUGAUGUAAUGAACUUAACCGGGGUUCUGUAGACGCAAACAGUAUCCCCAACAUGUGGCACCUAGCACAAUAGAGUUCCUGGCAGGCACCAUGAUGAUGGUAGCUGCACUUGCUGCAGUGGGGAAGGUCUCCUAGAUACGGUCUUCUUGGAGUCGGGAGGGAAGGAUUGAUAGGGGUAUAGACUGCCUCAGCUCGUUGCCCAUCGGAAGGUCCUUGAGCCGAGGUACUUCCCACUUCUAUCUUGAGUUUUCUCUUUAGUGGGUUCGUUUGAGGUUCUUGGGUGACUGGGCAUGGAAGUAUUGGUUGUUGUUGUCCAUUGUCAGGAUCGGAAUUCCUGACAGGGCCCUUGCUAACAUUGGCGGUGUUAGCAUUUAGGUGAGCCAUGAUAGUUGCUACGGCUGCUGAGACUGCAGCUUGGAACGUAGCUUCAACAAAUAAGAGAGUAGGUUUCUUGCUUGUGGAUUGGUUACGCUUCUUCGGUUGCAAGGUUUUCCUACACGGAAAGGAAUACAAGGAAAUGAGAGACGAUGGUUAACCCUGGACAUUUCUGUCCCGAUCGCAUUAGGCAUAAUUUUUCCCGUGCCUCGGGUACUGAUUGGUUGAACGUCGACCUACAUCCCUAUGAUGUAGUCUUGGUAAUCGAGGUAGGAGUGUGUGAAUAUCGAAAAAGCCAAAAGAUGCGAGUCGUUCCUACUAAGUUACCUUUUAUACUGAGAAAGGUUUCACUCUCCGGCCUGGAGAGAUUUGAGAACGGUUUGGAACGAAACUGCGGAAAGAGAGGUUCAUGAAAGCUCAUGGCUAAGCACUCUCAAUAAGGUGCGGGGAUCCGCUCUAGUCGUGUAGCUGGCAACGGGAAUCAACGACUUACCUAACACAUAGUGUGAGUAGUGUAACCACUAACUCACUAAAUUGUAUUAUUUUAUGGGUGUAUUGAGGAAAAGACAGUUCCCGGGUUCCAUGUACUGGUGUAACACCAAAAUUUCAAAAAAAACAAAAUUUUCAUUUAAUUAANNNNNNNNNNNNNNNNNNNNNNNNNNNNNNNNNNNNNNNNNNNNNNNNNNNNNNNNNNNNNNNNNNNNNNNNNNNNNNNNNNNNNNNNNNNNNNNNNNNNUAAAAAUGCUGAUACUCGCUUUUCAAAUAACUUGUGAUCUCAGGUUAGCGAUUAGACAGGUAGCUCCCCGGAGCUAUUGAUGAAGAUAGUUUAGUACCACGCUGUAUUUAUUCUAUUACUUGUAUUACUUUAAAUUGUUGUAAUGUAACCUUGUAAAACUAUUACUAUUAAUGCAAUGUUUUGUUGUACUUUGAUUACUAUAAUGGAUGUGUUGUGAUACUUGACAUGAUGUCAUCCACCCCAGAACGUUUCCGCCGUUUCGGUUUUGGGGUGUGACAAGGAGACCAAAGAAAUGGAAAUUGUCCCUGAUAAGGGAAGCUUUAAAUGUGAGGCGGGAAACACAAAUAGUUACAAUGAUGAAACCGUCUGCGCAAAAGGAUACGUCACAUCAGUGGACGUCAGAGCCAUCUCUGUCGAACAUGUGUCUUGAGCUAAGCUACAACAAUUCAGAGCCUUGUUUAUAGUGAGCUAAGUAUAUCAAUUCAUAAAAGAUAUACAACCUAUAAACGCAAUGGGAUAAAACACUCUGACCAAGAAUUAUACUUUAAAAUAUAACCAUAUUUUACCAAAGUAUAAUAACAUCCAGAAUCUAAACACUUGAACAAAAGUAUCACAAGAAGAACAAUAAUAAAAGUCUUCGGAUGUUGAACCCUACAGUCAAACCUGGGCAGUUAUGUAAUCGUAAGCUGGAAUAAAUGUAACCUGAUCAACUACAUUUAUUCGAGAUGCGAUGAACGUGUGCUCGGGAGUGGUAGUGGUGUACAACAGGUCUGAAACUUACUAAUCAGGGAUGCUAGAGCCAAACAUAAAGUUAAAAUACUAUAGGAGUAUUUUAGAACGCUAAAAGAUUCACACUAAUCCCAGAAUCUUAUUCAGAAGAUAAGAAUCAAACAAGAAUUAAAAUACCAUAGGGGUAUUUUAGGAAUCAUAAACAACCUUGCGUGAAUAACUAAAAAGAUCCUUAUUGAUAUACCUACAACUACAGAGGGUAUACUCCCAAGGUUAUAUAUAAUAAGGAUCCCAUAGGCUAAGAAUGUGUGGUUUCGCUCUAUUUCCUUUUCCUCGUUGGGAUGUGGUUCUAGAGUAGUAUCACAUAUUCGAAGGCCUAUCGGAUCUAAGCUAUAUAUGAUUUGUAUACCCUGUGUAAUCAUAGCAGGACUCGAUAUGGAUCAUCCAGAGGAAUGUUAAUAAUCUCUUAGGAUUCUUUAGACAUUUCCAUUCUCGCGCGAAUCCUGUAGACAACCCUACCCACUUCAGUGAUUGACCAAAAGAGUUGAAGUCGACCCCGAAGAAGUUCAUUGAGAAGAUUUCCUGUUCGGAAGUAAAUGAACUGGGUCGAGACUAUUGAAUGCACCAAGUGCCCAUAUUCUUUUAGGGACAGUGGUGAGAGAUUCGCCUAAACUUUGGAGAUUCCCAGUCAUCCAUCAUGAAGUGAUGACACCCAGAGGUNGUCAUCCAUCAUGAAGUGAUGACACCCAGAGGUGGAAUCAGAAGAAAGGCGGAGUAGAAAUUCAAUAUGUUCAUACGAGAAGAGAANNNNNNNNNNNNNNNNNNNNNNNNNNNNNNNNNNNNNNNNNNNNNNNNNNNNNNNNNNNNNNNNNNNNNNNNNNNNNNNNNNNNNNNNNNNNNNNNNNNNNNNNNNNNNNNNNNNNNNNNNNNNNNNNNNNNNNNNNNNNNNNNNNNNNNNNNNNNNNNNNNNNNNNNNNNNNNNNNNNNNNNNNNNNNNNNNNNNNNNNNNNNNNNNNNNNNNNNNNNNNNNNNNNNNNNNNNNNNNNNNNNNNNNNNNNNNNNNNNNNNNNNNNNNNNNNNNNNNNNNNNNNNNNNNNNNNNNNNNNNNNNNNNNNNNNNNNNNNNNNNNNNNNNNNNNNNNNNNNNNNNNNNNNNNNNNNNNNNNNNNNNNNNNNNNNNNNNNNNNNNNNNNNNNNNNNNNNNNNNNNNNNNNNNNNNNNNNNNNNNNNNNNNNNNNNNNNNNNNNNNNNNNNNNNNNNNNNNNNNNNNNNNNNNNNNNNNNNNNNNNNNNNNNNNNNNNNNNNNNNNNNNNNNNNNNNNNNNNNNNNNNNNNNNNNNNNNNNNNNNNNNNNNNNNNNNNNNNNNNNNNNNNNNNNNNNNNNNNNNNNNNNNNNNNNNNNNNNNNNNNNNNNNNNNNNNNNNNNNNNNNNNNNNNNNNNNNNNNNNNNNNNNNNNNNNNNNNNNNNNNNNNNNNNNNNNNNNNNNNNNNNNNNNNNNNNNNNNNNNNNNNNNNNNNNNNNNNNNNNNNNNNNNNNNNNNNNNNNNNNNNNNNNNNNNNNNNNNNNNNNNNNNNNNNNNNNNNNNNNNNNNNNNNNNNNNNNNNNNNNNNNNNNNNNNNNNNNNNNNNNNNNNNNNNNNNNNNNNNNNNNNNNNNNNNNNNNNNNNNNNNNNNNNNNNNNNNNNNNNNNNNNNNNNNNNNNNNNNNNNNNNNNNNNNNNNNNNNNNNNNNNNNNNNNNNNNNNNNNNNNNNNNNNNNNNNNNNNNNNNNNNNNNNNNNNNNNNNNNNNNNNNNNNNNNNNNNNNNNNNGAGGCCGCCAGGCGGCGUGAGUUAGAGGUUGAGUUGCAGUUGCGUAAGCUAAAGCAGGCUCCGAUGCAGUCCGGCGCCNACGGUCCAGGACCGUUGAUGUUAGAGUGGGGGAUCGGAGCGGCCACACUUGUGGGAAGUGUGUGAGGGGUCACACCGGAGUUUGUUGGUCCGGUGGUGCAUGCCGCAAGUGCGGAAAGGAGGGGCACUAUGCGAGGGAUUGUCGGCAGUCAGCGCCAGUUCGGGAUUUGAGGAUCUGCUAUCAUUGUCAUCAGGUUGGACAUUUGAGGGCCAACUGUCCACAGUUUGCUGCUGGGUCGGUGCAGGCUCCAGCACCGGCCACUUUGAGGAUCACAGGUGGAGGUCAGGGUGGAGCGGAGCCCCCAAGGGCUCAGGGUCGUGUUUUGCAGCUUGUUGCAGAGGAGGUCAGGGCAGUGCCAGAGACAGCUGCGGGUAUGUUUCUCUCUUGAUGUCUUGUUAUCUUGUGAUUAUUGUGGGUAAUGUUCAUGAGCCGGUAAUUGUUUGGUUUUCAUUGUGAUAUUCUUCGUUUUGCGGGUUGUGGUUUGGGUUAUGGAUUUGUGUUUCGGGUUUUCGUCUUGGUAUCCGUUGUUUCCUGAGGGUUUAAUAUGAUUAUGGUUAGUGUUUUGGUGCCUUCGUUGGUUAUCGUUCGUAAGGGUUGUCAGUGGAUAUGCGGCAUUGGGUUAUACGUCAGGCAGCAUCUUCGUUCAUGGAAGGGAUAACUGGAAGAUCGGAUUCUUUGUGAGCGGAUUGAUUAGGGAGGAGAUGUGUUUUGCUGAGGGUUGCUCAUGCUUGUGGGAAUCAGUCAGUGUGUAAGUGUCUCUUUGUGCGGGGUUGUUUUGGAAGGUCGUUAAUGGCGAUCGAUGGUUGUUAGUCAGUGCUUUAAGUGGGGGGAGAAUUGGAGAAUUCUCCGGGAGAUCGAUGAGUAUGUGAGGGUGCUUAGCUGUUGAGAUUCAGCAGUGUUCUGUCAGCUCAGAGUAUAGGCAGACAAGAGCGAGUGUCGGGUAUGCGGGGCGAGAUACAGACCUAGGGCAUUUGAUUGUGGAGGCCUGGGAGCAGGCCGGGAUCAAGUUUGAGUAGGUAACCGGGGUUAUGUGAUCAGAGUAUUUGUAUGCUUUAUGUAUGUUAUGUGUUGUACUGCAUUAUUUCUAUGUGAUUUAUGUUGUGCAUGUUUACAGAGUUAGAACCGGAAGGUUCACAGAGUUAGAACCGGAAGGUUCGCAGAGUUAGAACCUGAGGGUUCGCGGAGUUUGGGUGUACGGACCCACAGAGUUAUAGCCUCGAGUGGCUAAUAUGUGUUACGUGAGUUGGUCCAGUCACGCUAGAGACUAUGUUGGUAUUGUUGGAUCAGUUUGAGAUUGCUGAUUGUGUAUGUUGCAGUGUGAUUCCAUUGGAAGGUCUGGCCCCGGGGAGUGAUUUUGAUGAGNGGCCCCGGGUAGUGAUUUUGAUGAGUUGAGAGAAUGCAUGGGCUUGAGAGCCCCUGCAAUGAGAGCCUGAGUGUGUGAAUAGCGGUUACGCAAAAAGGGUGGUGUCGCGUUGGGCGAGCACCGUGCACUUGUUGGGGUGGCAAUGUGGCCAAGGGGAUUCCUUGGAAAAGGAAAAGAGAAAGGUGUGUAACUCCGAAGGGGAGUGCAAGUUCACGAAAGUGAAAACUGCAGAACAGAGUUAUGAUUAGAGCAUUUCGGGUAUGGUUUUGAGCAUCGUGUUCACGGCAGUGAAGUAGGGCUCAUCCGGUUUGGGAUGUCUGCUGAGGUCGCGGAGGGAAAUCCACAAGUGUAGAGCCGAGAGGCUCAGAAGGGAUGCAGGGAGAAAGAGAAUCUUGAACUCUCAGUGUGAUUCUAAUCAGGGUGUGGGGUGGAUAUUAGUGGUUCAUCCUGGGAGAUGUUUGAGGAUAGUAUCAGUGUAUCAGGUUUCCCAACCUGAAGGUGUUAGAGCUGGUUCAUCUUGUGUGGGCGGUUGCGAGAGGAGAGUGGGAUUCGGAUCGGGGAUCCGAUAGUUCAUGGUCUUCUAGCCUUUAUGAGUCGAGUGAUGGUUGUGAUUUGGAGCAGUGUUGCAUUAUGGGUAAUUCUCAGGGGUUAAGCGAAGAUAUUAGAGGGUGAAUCCGGUGCCCUAUUUGAAACGGUGGUCAGGACACUGUGAGGGAAGGAAAGUGUAUUCGAGUUCGUUUGGGUAUGCCUUGUGGGACCUGGUCUGGUUGAGGCCAGGUGGAGCAUUGUGGGAGUAUCCUUGGAGUUGAGCUGCUAUAGGCUUCGAGGGCGAAGCCUAAUAUAAGUGGGGGAGAAUUGUAACAUCCCGAAAUAGCGAGAGUAGAGUUGAAGGGCCAAAAGUGUUAAUUGGGAAAGAGUGACUCGGCGAGUCCAUGGAUGGACUCGGCGAGUAGAGUCGCGGCUUGACCGCGUGUUAAGUAGCCGACUCGGCGAGUCGAUGAGAUGGACUCGGCGAGUAGGUGCUGGGUGGAGAAAACCCUAAUUCUCGGGGUUGAUCCCUAUAUAAGAAACAUUAUGUUCCUUCCCCAACCUCUUUACUUCCCUCUUGAGUUCUAGAAACCCUAAAUAGCAGAGGAGCUCCAUUGUUGAGUGGAUUGAAGCUUGGAGAAGUAAUCAUUGAAGGAAUUUUGUGGGAAUUGAAGGCUUGGGGCAAGGGGCUUUGCUUGGAAUCAACUUCAUUGCAGUUGGGGGCGUCCAUUGGAGGUAAUAUCUCGUUCUUGGUCUGAUUGUAUGUUGUUUCUUCAUUUUGGGGUUUGUGGGAUCUUGCCUAUGGAUGUAAUUGGAAGUCUAGAGGGUAGAUCUGAGGUUGCUACCUCAGAUCUGGAGAAGAGGAGAAUCAGAGAGCAUGAAAGUCCCUGUGUUGGAGUGUUUAGUGAAGCUUGCAAGUCCCAAACCCUAGUUAUGAGUGAAUAUGGCCUAGAUCUCUAUGGAUUCACGUAAAGAUUGCCACUUUACGUGAUGGAUGAAUUGUAGGAGGCUAGAUCUAUGUUUUGGAUCAAUUGCAUGGUCUGGAAUGCUUCUGUAUGGAUUCAGAUCGGUGGUACUCGGCGAGUCACAUGGGUGAACUCGACGAGUUGCUUGAAGAUGAGCUGGGACUCGACGAGUUGGAAGAACAACUCGGCGAGUCGGAUGAAGAUGGCUUGGAACUCGGCGAGUUGUAUGAACAACUCGGCGAGUAGGUUGAAGAUAGCCAUAGACUCGGCGAGUCUGUUCUUAGACUCGGCGAGUCUUGUCGAAGAGUCCCGAUAUUCUCUGGUUGAGUCGAGAAUCGGUGAGUCAAGGGAUGACUCGGUGAGUUGAGGGCGAGUGGACUCAGAGUUGUUGAACUCGGCGAGUCUCGGGGUGACUCGGCGAGUUAGGUCGCGGAUUGAGUGAAGUUCUGAGUAUGGGAACUCGGCGAGUCAUCGGGUUGACUCGGCGAGUAGGGUCAGUCAGGGGUUGACUUUGACCUUGUCUUUGACCAAGGGUUGACCAGUGGUUUCCAGGGGUAUUUUGGUAAUUGUUGAUUAUUGUUUGAGUUCAGUGCAUUGGUGGCUGUCCAGAGGUGGAGAUCGUAUCAGUGAUCGGAGCAGCUUGAGCUAUCUGUUCAGUCGGCAGUUUCGAGGUGAGUUAUCCUCACUAUAUCGCUAGGGUUUAUGGCACCAAGGCCAACCUUUUUAUCGGAUGGAAAUCCGGGUAGUUGUCAGUUGUUAUGAUAUGGGCCGGAAGGCGCUAUAUGUUGCAGGCCGGAAGGCAUUACAUGUUGUGGGCCGGAAGGCAUUGCUAUGUGGACCGGAAGGUCAUGGCCUGGAAAGGCGUAUGUGUGCAUUUAGUAUGUUGACUGAUUCGUAGGGCGAUGUUAUGCUAGUGACCGGCUAGGCCGGUAUCUUGUUUAGAGUAAUGCUAUGAUAUGUGAUCUGUUGAUCGAUUGCUGACUAUGAACUGUUAUAUGAUUAUGUGUUAUGCGUAUGAUUGCUAGAUCUGGGGUGUGACCCGGUAUGCAGGGUCGUUCUAUGAUUUGUUAUGUUAUGUAUGCAUUUUAUGUUAUGGACCGGAAGGCAAUAUGGUAUGGGCCGGAAGGCAAUAUGGUAUGGGCCGGAAGGCAAUAUGUUAUGGGCCGGAAGGCAAUAUGUUAUGGGCCGGAAGGCGAUAAGUUUGGACCGGAAGGUCAUGGCCUGGAAGGGCGUAUAUGUGGUUGGUAUAUUGGGGGUAUCUCACUAUGCUUUCGGGCUUACAGUUGUGGUUUUAUGUUUUCAGGUUCUCAGGAGUCUGUGGCAAGGCAAAGGCGUGAUCGUACCGUUCCUCGCGUUGGUGUUUUAUGAAAUGAACCUGGAAAAAAUACUCUGUUAAAUAAUGUAUUGAAAACCUUUUUGUAACAACGUUAUUAAAAUGGGUGGUUUUGAAAAGUUUUAAUUGUUUUGAAAUUUUGGUCGUUACAUCUGGCACGCAAAACGAUGCAAAACGGGAGAGAGAUGAGAGAAAAAGAGAAAAUGAGCCGGCUGCCCUCGCAUCCUAUUUAUAGGAGGUUGGAGCCUCGGAGUACGCUGGGCGUACAGCAGUGCGCGGGGCGUACGCGUUUGAAUCGUCAUGGCAUGCGUCAUCCGAAGAACUCGAGUGCGAGGGAUGUCACGCUUCGCUGUACGCUGGGCGUACUUCGGAUGACUCCGAUGACUCCCCUUCGGAUAAUACCGGAUUUUAUAAUUAAUUUUAAAUAUUAAUUAUUUAAUAAACUUCAGAAAUUCAUAUCUUCUUCCGUUUUCGAUGUUCUUCAUAUCCACGCGUAGGUGAGACUGUGCUCUACAACUUUCGUUUAUACUCCGUCGGCUAAUUUUGACUUUAUUUUUAUUAAUUAUUUUUAGUAGGCCGGGACAGAAAAACUUCGUUAUAAAUUCAUAACUUCUGCGUUUGACUUCCGUUCUCGCCUAACUUUUCAUCGUUUUACUACAAUUAAUGAGAUCUUCGAUUCUCAUUUAUAUUGUUUCGGCUAAAAACCGCUCGGUCUCAAAUCGAAUAGGCUGCAUACCACUAAGUCGAAACUUCGAAAAAUCAUAACUUCCUCAUACGAAGUCAGAUUUGGGCGUUCUUUUUAUGCACGCUCAUGGUUUAACGAACUUUACGACUUUCGUUUAGAUCGUUAAGGCUAAAUAUCACUCUAACGUAAAUUCACUUUUUUACGUCAUUCAGCGUCGUGCCGGUUCUGUCGCGAAACUUCGACAGGUCAUAACUUCUUCGUUAUAACUCGGAUUUCGGCGUUCUUUAUAUGUACGGAAGCCUUGUAACAUAUACUAAAACUUAGUUAAGGUUAUUCAUCCUAAAUAAUCUUCUAUUAAAAAGUCAUUUUUGACGCUUAUCGUCUCUAAAUUGACUAGCCCUAAUCUACGGGCGUUACAGCCUCCCCCUUAUCAGGAUCUCCAACACCUAUCGCAAAUGUUCCUGAUCGAUCUAGCAUCGGCCUACAAACUCGGUUCAUGAGAUCCAUGAAUGUUGUUGGUUACGAACUCAAAGUGACCAUAACGAGUCCUGAAAGCUAUCUUCUGCACAUCAUUAUCUCUGACCCUCAUCUGGUGGCAACGUAAUCGUAAAUCAAUCUUGGAAAACCAAGAUGCACCUUGAAGCUGAUCAAAUAAAUCAUCAAUCCUCAAGAGUGGGUAGUGGUUCUUAACCAUUGAUUUAUUCAAUUCCGAGUAGUCAAUACACAUCCAAUGUGAACCAUCAUUCUUUUUCAUGAACAUGAUUGGUGCUCCCCACGGUGAACUACUUGGUCGAAUGAAUCCGUUGUCUAGUAACUCAUGAAGCUGUGUAGACAACUCCUACAUCUUAGGUGGCGUCGGGCGAUACGGUGCCUUGGCUAUCGAAGUCGCACUAGGGACUAUAUCAAUCUAAAACUCAACCUGCCUCUUGGGAGGCACUCCUGGUAAAUCCUUAGGAAAAUACAUCGGGGAAAUUCAGAACAAUGGGUACCCAACCCCACUGCAAAUAUCUCAUGCUCCUCUCAGCUAGACAGAGAGAUGGCCCAUGUGAUGCACUUUCUCCAAGAAUAACCAGUUCUCUCGUACUUGGCAUUCGAACUCUCACUAACUGCCGCUCGCAAUGAAUCAUGGCCCUAUUGGGGCCGAACAAAUCCAUCCCAAUGAUAACCUUCGAUCCUAUCAAAGGAAUUGACACCAAGUGAAUAAAGUAUCUCCCACUAAUCAGAUUUAGGACACACCCACGAGGAACCCUCGUAGCACUCAUGGUAUAAUCAUCAACAAUCUCAACCACCAAAGGAAAUUCAAAACUCUCAGGAGCAUCACAUGACUUCUUUCUAAGUGCAAUAGAUACAAAUGAUCGGGUAGCUCCUGAAUCAACGUAGGACAUGAGUGGACAUACCAUGGACCAGAAAGGUCCCUGUAACCAUAUCCGGUGUCGUACAAGCCUCAUCAGUGGUCAUCUAAAAUGCCCUGCUCCUAACCAUUGGUGCCUUUGUCUUGCCCUUGUGGCUAUCAGUAAUCCUCAAGGUAGUCGGCAUUGGUUUCGUUACUGUUCCCCUUGAUAAUCUCAGAAAAUCGGCCUUUUUAUGUCCAAUCUGAUUGCAAUGAAAGAAAAUCAUAGCAGUCCUAUGGCAGUCGCUACUCAUGUGGACCAACUGACCACAACCAAAACAUAUUGAACCCGACACUCAGCACGCCUCACCGCUGUCUUUACCUACUCUGGCUUUCACUUCGUCCGAAGUUCCAUCUCAAUCUCCCGCCCAUGCACUUUCUCGAUCAUAUUAUUCAGGGUCUUGCACCCUGACAGUCCACGAACUCGCUAAUAUCCUCUUUCAACAUGUUAUGUUAUCUCGUAUUCCUCAUCUCCUCAUUCGCAACAUACUAUGGGACCAACAAAGCCCUUUCCCUAAAUUUGGCAGUAAUCUAUGCCACAUAUCAAUAGUCUAGCAACGGUCCUGGAACUCCCUCGCCAACUGCUACACCUCAAUAGCUAUGCAAACUCUCUCUGGAAAACUCUGAAAAAAUCUUCCCAAGUCAUGACUGCCACUACAGCUCGACUAACCUCCUUCCACCAGUCUCGUGGUCGAUCCCUCAGUAGGUAGGAUGAAAAUACCACCUUUUCCCCUCAGGGCAAAAACUCUUCUAUCGAGCAUUAUCCAAGUCAGUGAUUCAAUGUCGGCUAGAAAUGGGGUCCUUAGCCCUAAAGAACUCAAGAUCUCCACAAGCCUUGAACUCCCGGAAUGAGAAGGCUCUAACUCCUAUCUGAACGAUAGCAAUCUCAACUCGAUAAGACCUGAGCCUCUCAUCCAUAACCUAUAUAAUCCCCUCCUUGAUGGUAAAAAACAUCACACGAGCAGCAUCCAAGAUACCGUGAGUAACAUCAUCCGAAAUGAAAUCGUGUAAUCUCUCGUCGAUCGGUUUUGUGCCUGAGCCAAAACCUUAACCAAAACUAGAGCCAGAACAUCCUCGAAUAAUCAUCACCAUCCUCAAACUAAAAUACAACAUAUAAACAAUCAACAUAUGAAUCUAGGAAGACUCAACUCUCAUCGAUCGCAAUACCAAGAACCUUAAUCAACACUGUUGGUUGCCUUAUGCAUGCAAGUUAUACAGAAAAUAUAAUCACAUAGGCUGUCAAAUGAUGAUUCUACCCUAAGUCCACAACCAAACAAGGAAAAAUAAAUGAGGCCAGAUCGAUCAUUCUAGGGCUAUGUAAUCCUAAUCAUAUACAACUUGGAAAACAUACGCUUAACAAUGAACUAAGCCGAUAUCAAUUGCAAGUAAUACAUAACAUCAAGUUAAGGCUAUCAGGCAUCACAAAAAUCAGGCAAUUCUAUCAUAUUAUUCCUGAAUGUAUUCUUUGCCCUAAUCUAACAUGCAAUUCUUAUAUCAAGCAUACUACUCAUAAUAGAUAGGUGUGGAUAACCUUGGGAACCACUUACUUGUGCUUGGUUGUUUGCAUGCAUCACAGCCGCUUCUUCUUAGUAAAAAUCUUUCUAGAAGUUCAAUUUCAAUUUUUUAAAGGUUAUCAUUUCCUCAGUUUGAGUUCUGACACACCUGAGAGUGUGCACAAAUUCCUCAAACCAAGGCUGUGAUACUAACUUCUAACGUCCCAUAAACGGUAAUAAAAAUUUUCAUUUGGAAGUCUAUCAAACAAUUCAUCAAUUUUGCAAAAUCAAACACCAAGUCAUAAUAUUCACAACAUCGGAGUAAAAUUAUUCAGAAUGUGGAAAUCAUGAGGGGAGGAUGUUGUUCCAUCAUGUUGGGCCGUUACCUUUCGAACCAAAAAUACCUAAAACCAUAAACAUAAAUUAUAAGCGCAAAGCUUAGUGAUUUCGCCAAAGUACUGAUGGGUUUGAGCAAUAAGAACACUCCUAUGUGAACAUACAAACCCUAAUGCUUGGAUCUAGGUUUCUCUAAUGAACAUGCUUUCAUCCCAAGACUUGUAAACCCUAGUUCUAUGAUAUUGAUGGGUUUUAAGCAUAACAUCAAUUCUAUUGUGUUCAUGCAACCCUAAUUCCUUGGAUCUAGUUUUUCUACUUUGAACAUGUAAUAAACUUCCAAGACUUACAAACCCUAGAUCAAGCAUACUAAUAAUCAAAUUAAUAUAUGAAUUAAGGUUUAGAUCUUACCUUGAUUCUUAUGUUGCAAUAACAAUCAAUUCCUUGGCUUCAGAAAGCUUAGUGCCUCAAGUGCUGCACCUCUAAUGGAGUCACAAACACCACUAAGCAACUUGGAUAAAGAGGGAAGAGAGGGGAGGCACCAAAAACGGUUGGAAACCCUAAAGGAAGUGUUAGCCACGUUUUGGUUCCCCAAUGGUUCCUUAUAUACUUAGGCAAUUAGGGUUAUCAAACAAGGAAACCCUAAUUUGACUACUUAAGCCCUAAGCAGCCCAAGGACCCCUUCUGGAACAUACCUUGGACGAUUUCUAAUGGGCUUCCCCAUAGAAUUCGUCCAACAUAUUAUUCCAAGGUGAUCCAUAGCCCAAUUGCAAUUAUCUUAUAAUUACAAUUCCAUUCCCUAAGUUUAAUUAAUCUCUUUUAGCCACAAAAUUAAUUCUUGACUAAUAUUAAUUAAACAUUAUGAUUUCUCCUUUAAUAUAUUAUUCUUAUAAUAUAUUAAUAAAUCAUAAUUAAUCCUUUCUCUCCUUAAUUCAUCCUACAUAUUGCUAUGGUGAAGGCAACCCAAAAGGACCAUGUUCAUAAUCGGGUCAAGCACAUACCAAAAUAGUUAUGGACUUAGACACUAAUCCAACAGUUUCCCACUUUGAUAAGUCUAAUAACUAUUUUCUGUAUGACUUCAGAACCUGAUCAGCAAUCGUAGCUUUCGUAAACUGCUGUUAACUCUGAUCUUAUCAGAUACGCAUGACCUUUAGAUAAGGGAUCAUAUAUUCCUCCAUUCUCAAGAUAUAGUAUAGACACAAGAUGUGAAUUUCAAUCAUUCUCUCCAUACCGUUUCCCGACUUCUGAUUAAUCACGACUGACAACAUACUACAAUUGAACACAUCAACUUAGUCCCGGCUUGGCCAAGCGCUUAGGUCUCAUCACUAAAUCAUCGAGGGGGCCACAAAUAUCGCUUUUAUCCUACUUUGGGUAAAAGGAAUGAAUAAACUUCGACUCAUAUGCUUGCUUUUAUUCACUCAUCGAAUCACACAUAUUAAUAAGUUUUAUAACACCAAGUUACUGGUGCGUUUACUUAUCAUCAAUGUGUAACCGACCAGCAAAUAACAACUCACACGUCUCGGUUUCAAAAAUAUACAAUAUUAUUGACUCACAAUCACUCGUGAUAAAAUCCAUGAAGUGAUUCUUGUGAGCAUGGGUUUAAUCCAAUACUCUAAUCUCAUUAAAGCACUCAUGAACCCUGCAACAAACUUGUGUUAUCUUUAAACUCUUCAGACAAUCUACAGACUCUUCAUGACAGUCUUCCUUCAUACCUACUUCCAACGUAUGACCGACUAUGGAAGUUUGAAUAACCUAGUUAUUGUGGAAGUCAAAACAUGCAAACUGAAACACAACAAUAAUACUUAAUCCUAUAUGGUCCCAAACUUGUGGGAGUAAAUAAAACACUUUUGUUUAAACACCAUAUUGAUUACUCAUUAUUCAUCGUUUACUGUUUCAGAAAAUCAGCUUAUUACUCAAAUUACAACAAUAGUUGUCCCAUAUGUUUCCUAUGGUCCUCACUUUGUGAAAUAGAUCAAUUGAAAAACUUUUCCAAUGAUGCUCAUUUUACAAUUCCUAAUCCUUAUCAUUAGUGUUAGAACACAGGGUUCUUGUCACUACUAGAAUAUGCUAGAUUCUAACAUUUUAUGCAACGAUCCUUUCGCAAAGUCAUAGCACAAAAGUCACCAAGACUUGGCCAAUCAAAUUACAAAGUACUCUAUCGAAAAUUGUUACAAAAAAAUUCCAUAUACGUGAAACCUCCAAUUCAAAGUACAUUCCUUUGAACAUCCUUCAUGCAUAAAAUUUUCUAAUCUAGACAUAGACUCUCAAUAUCCAACUCCCAAUAUAGAAACAUUUCCAUAUUUGCCAUAUGACAACUCAUUCAUAAUAGAAUCUUAUCUAUUCAUAAUAAUGUCGAUAUGGUCCAUCCAAGACCAUAAUUCCAACUACUUACAAGUGACCAAUCCUCAGCGAACUUUGGAUCGUCCUUUGAUAGUUGUUUAAUUAUUUUAGUCAAAACCGAUUCUAGUCCUUUUUCCCUCUUAAUGCGUUAGACAUUUGGAAAAUUUUAGAAUGGUCAAAUAUUAUUGCAUUUGCAAUCGAUCCUAUACCCGAAGCAUAUGGGACACGAUGCAUAAUGUCUUACAUAAAGAUAUGAUACUUUAUCAAUCUUCUGCCAUAAUAUUUUAUGUGUCACGUUCUUACAAUUCGAAUUAUGAAAAGGGAUGCCGUAAUCAUAAUUGAAAUUUGAGAACACACUAUGUUUCCUUUAACUAUAUUUAUUAAAAAUUUUCAAUCUAAGCUUUAGAUUUUGAAAUGAAGUAUAAUAUUCUCUCCCUUAAUUAUAGCAAAACAACUUUUCAACCCAUUCAACUUUGCAAAUUGAAUAUUUGUUUUUCUAUAAUUAAUAUGGCUAACUCGCAACACUUGCCAUAAUAAUCAUACAAGCAUAACACUUAUGUUCCGACUAUCAUGAUGAUUAUUAUCAUAUAAGCAUAACACUUAUGCAACCCACUAUCUUUGACAUGUAUUCAGAAAACAGCUGAACUUCCAGAAAACAAUGCCUAUUAAAUUUCUGAAGUUCAUAUUUCUAAUAUCAAAUGCUUCGAUAAGACUUUAUCUAAGCUUCUUAAACUUAUACACCUUUGACUUAGAUAGCUCAUACGUGUGUCUAAACAAUUUAGAACUUAUAUCAAUAAGUCCCAAAUGUUAGACUAAUUUCCAUAUCUCACAAUUCGAACUAUGGAAAGGGAUGGCGUAACCAUAAUCAAAUUUGAGAAUAUAAUUUUCACAAUUUCUACUUUCUUAAAAUCUCUCUUAGUGAAAGUAUUUCCUCACAGUCAUUUUCAUGAUGGAGGAAAUCUUAUGACUCUUAUAUUUUAUGGUGUAUGUGUUCCUAUCCCUGUGAAUUUGCCAAAACCAAGUUUGCGAAAAAUCCAAACUCUUAUGGACUGAACUUUCUUGAUUUCUAGCCUUAUGGUAACACGAGUGCCCACUAUGUCUUCCAAGUAGUUUAGAAACUUAUCCUUACAUAUAAAUGUACUUUUCAUCGAUCAAGGCGCUUUGUCUUUAUGCACUUCAAUGAGAACUCAUAGAACUCACAUGCAUAAUUAACUCAAAUGGAAUGGCACAGAAACAAAAUAAUGUCAACACGAUGGGUUGUAAACCUCAAGUCGUGUGCUAAUGAUGAUCGAUAAGGUUUAUUCUUGAGUUGUUCUUGAAACUUUUUCAAGAUCAUUAAAACUCCCACUGACCUCUUGACAUAUAUGAUUCUCUUUGUCAAGAAACAUUUCUUGAGAAACAAAUAUUCAAGAGUUAGUGCAGUUAUUAUCAAGACAAAACACUUCACAAAUUGGUCCUAGUUGGUCUUUGUCUUAUCCAAGACAUCACAACUUACCAAUUCAAAAUGUGCAAGAAUAAGACAAAAUUUUCCAAAUUCCACAUUCGAUGAGUGUUAUAAUCCUACUUAAUACUUGUCACUCAAUUUGCAAUCUUGGAGUAUGACUCUAAGAUUCGAUAUUGGAACGAAGUAUGACUGACUUCUUGAUUUAACCGUUUCCACAAUUCUCGAUUCCUCUUCUUAGACAUACAAAUGUACUAAGACUUACUUAGAGGACUAAUUAAGAUAUGGUUUUUAAUCAUUAAGACUUAUCAUAAAACACAAUAAAAGGUACUCUCCCUU
rnacentral:lncRNA from 1 species